CGGAUAAGGGUGGUCGAAGGAGAGGGUCGGGUUCGGCUUUAUUGAAAGGGUAUCCGGGUCGAAGGAAAGGAUAUCGACCCGGUUCGAGUACUCCUCGAUAAAGCUGCCGACGGCGAUUCGGUGGUGCUGGUGGCGGGUUCGGGUUUGGGGCGAGGCAAAGGCCAUGGCGUACAGCGGGUACGGCGACUCGUACGUCACCGAGUUCUCCGCUCUGAGAUGGGAUUCUUGCGUAGAGUUCUCCAUUUUCUUCUUCCUCAAAUUUUCUCGGGAAAGUGACGGAAAAUUUGUCGAGAGGGAGAAGAGGCAGUCAGGGGAAGGCUUCGGGUCGGAUUUCUGAAGCGUGGGAGUGUUCGGGUUAGGAUUUUGGAAGGAAAUGCGCGAAGAGAUUUCUGAAGCAGGCGGUGCAAAGUGAAGAAACGACGUGUAGUUUGCGAGCGUGUAACGGAAAAGUUGGUUGGUAAACAAGUCGUCAAACAGUCAAAGUCGCUAGCACACGCAUUUUGACUGGACUUCUCCAUGGGCUUUAAUGUUAUUUAGGCCCACAUGUACAUGUGAUCCAGUAUAUGAAAAGGUUUGGAUUAAUUUUGGGCCUGAAAGUAGUUGGACUUUGAAAAUCCAAUGGAUCCAAGAUUACCUGUUUUUAGAGGAAGUCCAAUGGAUCCAAGAGUUCAUGUUUUCGUGUAAUUUAGGAGGGCAAAGUUUUAUGUAACGUACAAUACUAUUUGUACAUCUUUUGUACACAUGUGAACUAGAGCUGUUAGAUUGAAAUGGACGUGCCAGAUGAAGAGUUUAAUUUAAGUUACAACCGGGUCAACAAAACCUUUGCAUCCAUGCACCUUCCUUUCUCCUCGACUCUAGCAGAUAAGGCUUUGUUGUUGUUGUUGUAGAGAAAAAGAAAGCCAAGGGUUGCAGACCUGGGAGAGGAUGGAUUGCGAGACUGUGCUGAUAAUUUACAGUGAAAGAGAGUUUGGUGGAGGAGUGGAUUUCAAUGUCGUGGAAGUUUUUGGCAGGGGAAGAGAUGGUGUUUUUUUUCUCUGCGGUAGUGAUGUUUGGGCAGUGGUGCUUCUAAGGCAAUACUCGUUAAGUGGAGGGUUUGGUUUGGCAAAAAUAUUUUUAAAAGGUUGGUCAUGUGAUUGUUCACGUGAUAAUUUAACAAAGAUGUUAACAUAUUUUUUACAGAAUAACUAAAAUGAUUUAUAGAGGACAAACUCCGGUCCACUUCUAUUGAUUUGCAUUGUCAAAGACAAAAGUAAGGAGUCAUGUCAAUCUCAGAGACUAUUUUGGCUAAAAAGUCCAACUAAUUAUUACAUGAGAUGGAAAAACCAUGGAUCUUGAUGCACAAAGUUAGAUUAACUUAGAUUCAAUCAAAAAAUCACACAAACACACUAGAACAAUAGUUAUUUUGUAGUUAAUCCGAAGUUGGCCUACGUUCACGUUGAUGUAGUUUCCAUUGAGAGAGUAAGGUAACUAGGGUCUAAGAUACAAUGGAAGGCCCCUCCUAAAAUGAGGGUGAUCAAAUCUUUACGGGACAAUGUUCUUCCUAUCGUUUGGCAAAGUUGUCACGGUGUUAUCAGUUCACCAAAAUAAUAUGCACAGUUGUUUAAUGUAGUAUCUUUUUGUUUUUUUUUUGGGUUUCUCUCUUUCUCAAAUAAUAUUAAUAAAAUAAAUAAAUAAUAAUAAUAAUAAUAAACAAAAUAUUAACAAAAAAAGAGUUUAACAAUUAGAAUGUAUUGUAUUUAAGAAAAACUAGAUCGACAUCCAUGGCGAUGGACAUUUCGUCUCAUUCAAUAAUGCACAAAAAUGUCAUGUGAUGUUUACGUAUUACCUCACACACACACAUGUUUCUUGCAACAACACAUCAUUUUUAGCAUCAGUAUUAAAUUGAUAACUUAAUUUAAAGGUGAAAAAAACUAUAUAUAUACAAACAAUUAUGCAGAUGAUGUUACUCCAUCUCCAUCAUAAGUUGCGUAAAUGAACACUUAGGUCAAUGCUUGUUAGAGUGGGGUUUUUUAAGUGUCAAACACAUGUGACGAUGUUAGUGAUUAUAAAUUGCACUAUAUUUCGGAAUCAUAUAUUAUUUUCCUUAUUCUUUCAUCCCACAAACGCACUCAAAUUUUCUUUUUUUGACUAAUUUGUGGUUCAACUCGUGUUGAUGUGUAGAGUAAUUUAUAUAGAACGAAUUGACCGUUACGUGGUAUUUUUAUUUAAUAAUAUAAUAUCAUAUGUUGAAACUUAAUUACACAUAUUAUUAUCCAAUUGAAACAGGGUAAUACAAUUAAAGUAAAUUAGUUCAAUGUUAUUUUUUUUUUAUCAACAUAACAACAUAUUAGUAACUUAUCUUAUAUAUUCGACCGCAUGACAUCUGUAGCCAAGUUCCUUUCCUCAUCUAUGGCCAAGAGUGGAUGGCAAUUUGGUGCAACUUGGGAGGUCGAUAGGACAUGGGAGGCAUUGAUAGGACAUGGGAGUCAUUGACUAGAUCACCACACCAAGUCAACAUGCUUAUCAGUUUAUAUUGAGGACAAGGAUUGUCUGUCAUCUACUUUCGGUGCUCUUUUCGUACAUUUCUGUUUGUGUGGUCACGGUUAAAUCACUUCAAUAUUUUAUAUUAUUAUUUAUUUUUAUCUUAUUAUAUCUAUAAAAAAACAAUAUAAAAUGUAGACGUGGUUUAACUGUGACCACACAAAACAAGAGGGUACGGAAAAGGCAUCGAAAGUGGAGGGCAGAUAAUUCUUAUCCUUAUAUUGAUGCCACCGACAUACAGGCUGGCGGUGGCCUAACUUUUCUUCUUACCUAACGUCAUCACCUCGUCAUGGGAUGACGCACAACGAAGCUGCAAAUAUGAUGUCAAAACCUUGUAUCAAAACCCUAGCUUUGAGUUCCACAGAUUGACCAUUAUUUUUAGUUUCUCGAGGGCAUGGGGGGCUCAGUUAAUCGUGCCAUGACUAAUUAACAAAUGCUAUUUACUAUUAUAUAUGUAAUAAUUCACGGUCUCAACUCUCGAAAACGAACAGAAACUAAAUAUAUUUAAUGUAAUUGGAUCAAGAAAAAGGUUUAGAUCUAUAUGCUGCUUGUGGUCCAGCCUCCAUGGAUGGAGCCAUUGCUCUCUUGGAAGCCAAACUUUAUUCGCGAAAGUUGUAGGAUGCGGACGUUGUAUCAGUAAAGCUGACUCUUCCUGUCUAUAGCUAAGUUCAUAUUCCCACAACCUUCGAAAGAUUUAUAUCUCUGGUUACACAUAAGCACGACACAUAAAAGCUUUUUUGCUAAAAAUUAUAUUCUUAAUGUUUAAGGUACAACGAAUUUGGACAAGACCUACAGAACUAUGAAUAUGAUGGAUGUAUAUCUGUAAUAACACAAGAGCAUGACACGUGAGUAUCUGUUGCGAUCUAAUAAUUGCUUAUAUAAAGUACAACGGAUUUGGACAAAACAUGCAGAAAGAUUGUCUGCCCUCCCGUGCCCUCCUAUUUGUGUGAUCACGAUUAAGUCACGUCAACAUUUUAUAUUACUAUUCAUUUUUGUCUUGUAAUCUCUAUAAAAAAAUAUAUAUAAAAUGUUGAUCUGGCUUAACCGUGACCACACAAAACAGAAGAGUAUGGAAUGACACUGAAAGUGGGAGGGCAGACAAUCCUUAUCCGAACUUUUGAGUAUUGAUGAGUGUAUAUAACACAGAAGCGUCUGUGCGGUUCCAUGAUUCAAUUACCGACGUGCCAUAUGUACUGUAGAUAGCUGAGGUUUUGAACUGAUUAAUUUCAAGUUUGAAAUUGACGUGGCUGAGGUUUUGAACUGAUUAAUUUCAAGUUUGAAAUUGACGUGUGAACUAAUUUUGCAACAAUACCACAUAUUUGUUUAUAGAAACUCAGAGUUUUCUUUCAGAAGCUUCAAUUGUAUUUUCAUUACACAAUAAUGUUAUUUCAAGAAAGAGUAUAUAUAGUCUUUGGCUUUGUACAGUAAUACCCUCAACUAAUCUCAACUAACAAUUCACUGUUAAAACAAACCAGUGACAACUUUUGAUGAUGUGGCAUUUGCCUCAAUACACCCUCUCAAGCUAAAAUUGGAAUUUGUAAUGAUGCCAAUUGGAAGCGUGGACUUCAAGUAACAGAACCUGAUUUUGGAAAAGGGACUUAGUGUAAGAACUGCUAAUUGAUCUUCACUAUAGACAAAUUGAACUUUGAUGAGAUUUGCAAGAACCAACUCUCGGAUGUAAUGAUAAUUGAUUUCUACAUGUUUAGUUCUUGCAUGAAAUACAAGAUUUGAGGCAAGUGAAAUUGCUGAAAUUUUAUCACACCACAAAGUAGGAAUAGUUUUGAGAGGAAAGCCAAUAUCAUGAAAUAUUUUGUAGAUCCAAGUGCGUUAUGCAACUAUGUGUGCCAAAGAUCCAUACUUUGCUUCUGUUGAUGAUCAAGCUACAAUAGCUUGUUUCUUGGCACUCUAGCUAAUUUAAUUUGGACAUAGAAAAACAUUGUAUCCACUCGUGGAUCUUUUGUCAAAUGUACAUCCUGUCCAAUCUGCAUCAGAGUAUGCAGUGAGAUUAUUACUACCCUUUUUAAACCAGAUGCCCCUAAGGAAUGGAGCCUUUUAAAAACUUGAGAACCCUUUUUGCAGCUUUCAUAUGUUGUUCCCUGGGAGCAUGCAUGAAUUGACAGAUUUGGUUCACUACAAAGGAGAGAUCAGGCCUUGUCCAAGUCAAAUAUUGCAGGCCACCAACAAUGGACAUGUAUUAAGUAGGAUUAGGGAGACGAAGGCCACUGUGAUCAAGCUUGGUGGAGCUGAGAGGAGUACAACAUGGCUUAGAACCUUCCAUAUUGGUUUUCUCAAGAAGGUCAAGUAGAUACUUUGUUUGAUAAAGAAAGAUACCCUCAGAUGUUUUUGAACUUCCAAUCCCAAGGAAUAAUGCAGAGGUCCCAGAUCCUUGACUAGAAAAAUGGCAUUCAGUUUUUGAAUGAAUAACUGACAUAUAGAAGCAUUAAGGCCUGUAACAAAUAUGUCAUCUACAUACACUAUGACAAUUACCAAGGUUGGUCCUUUGGAAACAAAUAAGGAUGCAUUUGAGGAAGAUUGAACAAACCCAAACGUGAGAAGAGCUUGGAAUAGCUUGUCAAACCAAUCUCUUAGUGCCUGUUUAAGGCCUUAUAAAGAUUUCCUCAUCUUACAAACAUGAUGUGGCAUUGAAGGAUCAAUAAAACUUGUAGGUUGCUCCAUAUACACAACUUCUUUCAAAUCACCAUAAAGAAGUGCAUUAGUUGAGGGUAUUAUUGAAUAAAGCUAAAGGCUAUAUAUACUCUUUCUUGUAAUAACAUUGUUGAAAAUACAAUUGAAGCUUCUGAAAGAAUACUCUGAUGAUGUGGCAUUUGCCUCAAUAUUGUAGGCUAUUGUAUGUCGACCAACCCUAAUUAUCUUUUUUUAGUCAAGAAGAAAUUCUAAUUAUAUCUUGUCUAAUGUGAUCGUCGAUCGUAAUAGAAAGUUUAAUAAUCGAAUAAACCACUAAACAAACCGAUUAGGCAUGAGAGGAUCAUAAAGGUGGCCGAAAAACACAGUCGCUAACAACGGUGGACUAAGGAGAAAAGCCAUUAAUCCCUCUAGAAUUUUAGGGUUAGGAUAAUUUCCUUAUGAUUAUGAUGGGGGAGCGUGAGAGGCUAGGACAUCUUAAUCCUGUACUGAUCGGACCCCACGGGAUGAACUAGGGUACAUUGAAUGGGGUGGGAUUGGAUGGCACCUAACCUACCUAAGCAAGUCUUUCAAUAUUUGAAUAAUGCAUCGCACCAGUUUUUCUACCGCCAUGCAUCGCACCAGUAUUAAUAUUGGUGAUUGGUCAGUGGCAAGCUCACAUGCAUGCAUGUAUAUACAUCUAUCUAUGGGCCAGUGGCUGCCCUGCCGGCCAAGGUCCUUCCUCCAUCGAUGUGAAAAUUCAUUCUUCAUGCAUUAUCUUGUAUGUGUGAUAAAUUUUCAAGUCUAAUAAGUAGACAAUACAAACGGAGUGAUGUAAAGCGUGUGUAACCAUUGGGCUUAACACGUGUGAUAAUAUGUUCUGAUAUCAUGAAGAAAAUUUAAAUUUCACGAUAAAACCAAUUAACAAUAUGAAAAGUAAUCUAACUUAUAUUUAAUAUUUUCCCUCCUUCCAUCAAGGGGAAUUUUAUUCUCAACAAAUACUAACAGACAGUCAAACCGACCCUUUUCCUUUUUAGGGCAAGCAUGCAUCAUGAGGUGGGGAAGGAGAUCUUCUUGUCCAUAAAACUAUCAUCCUAUUUCUACACCAUUGAUUCAUUUUCCACAGCUUAGCUUUAGAGGUUCUAUUGUAUUUUACUAUCAUCCUGCAUGUAUGAAUGGAACAUAAUCAAUCGAUUGAUUGUUUUGGUCGGAAAGAUAAGAUUCGAACGUUUUAACACGACAGAAGAUUAGAACGUUUUAACAUGACAUAAGAUAGACAAGCUAACUCUUGAUGACUAAUACCAAAAGGAAUUAUUAGUACUAUUACAUGGUUGAAGUUUUCUAUACGCAAAAAAUAUUCAACUCAUUAAAUAUAAUCCCAUUCGUAUAAGCUAUAAUCGUCAUCUUUUAGGGUUUUAGCUAUGAUGUAUAUUAGCCAUUCUAAACCACACAAAAACUGCGUUUUCUACACUCCACGGCUGACGUAGCUGCACUUGCAAUUGCUAGACGUUGAUGGGGGCAGUAAAGGUAGAUUUUUGGGAAUCUAGUUAGUGAGCCAUGUGUAAGUUAUGCAGAAAUAAUAAAAUCUAGAUAGGAAGUAGGCCAUGAGUAAGUAUUGAAAAAAAUAUUCCCUAAUUGCAUUGCUUCCAAUUUUAAUUUACUUUUUGUUGACUUUAUAGUUUAUACAUUGAUAAAUCUUGAAAGAGAGAAAUUUUUUCAAUAUGUUCGGAAUAUGCGACAGUAAAUCAUAGAUUAUUAUACAAGUAUACAAAAAAAGUUAAGUGGUUGUGAGCAUUACAAUGUAGUUGAAUGAGUACCUAUAUGUGUUUGUCUAAGUCUAAAUUAGAGAUAAAGAAUGUGCUACACAAAUUUUAAAUUUAAAUUUAAAUAUUAAUGAUAAUUAAUGUAUUGGUAAUGCUCACCGGAAUCGGAUCCUCUCCGGAUCCCUUCUCUAGGAAUCCCCGGAGAUCCUUUAAUCACCAACGUUCAAUAAAAGAGCAAUGGUCAGGAUUCAUUUGAUUUGUUUUUUUCCUCUUUACAUUACUCCCUCUUUCUUUUUCAUCGUCUUCUUCAACCUCUCUCAAUCCUCACCUUCUUCUCUUCACCGUUUCCAAUAAGACCAAACCCAAUCAUGGGCUAAAUGCUAUUUUUUAGGUUUUAUUUCCCCUCCAAGCCCCCCAGGAUUUAGCCCAGGAAAUGGUGUGGGCACCACCAACGGCACCCCACCCACAUGGGCUUCUCAGGAUUUAUUAAAUAUAACGACUGAGAUCGAAUAUAAUCAAAUCUAACGGUAAAAAAAAAAGAUAUAACGGCUCAAAUUUAAAUCCAACGGCUAAAAUAAUUAAAAAAAUUAUUUCUCAAAAUUCACCCAAAUGUAGAGAUUUUUCAAUAUUUAUAGGAAUUUAAAUAUUUUUAGGUUAAAAUAUUCAUAAAAUUAAAUUAUGAUAGUGUACAUAAUGUUUUUUAAAUUACUUUAAAAGAAAAAAUUAGCCUAAAUUUAUCUUUAAUAAUCUCAAGCUAAAAAAUUUAAGCCAGAAGCUAGAAAGGUUGAAACAGAAAAGUUAUUUCUAAGCUCAAACUUAAAUUUUUUAGGCUAAAAUGUUUAGAUUUUAGAAGUUGGAGAUGGUCUAAAUCGGCGUGACAUCUUUCUCUCUCCGUCCUAUUUUGCUUCUCAGUGUCACCUUCCCCUCGCCUCCUGCAUCUCAGAUUUCAAAACAAGUACAUUUGUUGGUCUCAAGCAGAAAAUCAAUCAAGCCAACUCAUUAAACACCCCAAAACCCGAUCUUUACCCUCGCCCUCCAUCCCUAACCCCUAUUUCUUCACCCAACAAAAAACGCCCAUAAACCCAGAAUUUUUUUUAAUAUACGAUUUUUUUUGUAUUUUCCAAACACCCUUAUAACCCAUGAAUUAAAAUUUCCGAACAGCCACGUAAUUGAUUGCAGGGAGGAAGAAAAUUUUUGUCAGAUUUCGUGUUUGAUGUGAAACCAUGAAACCAAGGGAGGGAGGAUGAGGAGAAAAAUAGUUUGGAUCGAUCUUCGAUUGAGCCGUCUCACGAAGAUCGGAACUCGAAGGCUCGAGGAGCAGCCCCUAAAAGGGAAGCCGUGGAUACGGCGUGUUCGUCACUGCAGUGUUGAAAGACAAGGGAGAGAGGCGGACGUUUUGAUGCGAAAUUGGGUUCCAAGCUUUUUGAUGGAAAAAUAGGGAGAGAGGGGGGAGAGGAAAGAGAGAGACUUUUUAAUGUUAAAACUAUUAAAAGAAAAUUGAUUACUAGCCGUAGGAUAUCAUCUAACGGCCACGACAUGAUUGGUCUGGAGGCUCUGUGAAGGUUCCGGCGAGGACCCGAGCCCAUGCUCACCAGUACUACUUCGAAAUGGUGACCUAAAACGGUCUCGAACAAAUUUAGUGAACCUUUUAGUUUGUUCGGACAAAGGUUCUCUUCUAGUAUACAACCAACACUUAGCAAUCCAUGCAUACGAUGAAAGUAGUGCUUCGGGUUGGUUUUUUUUCGCAUGUCUGAAAACUAAAGAAUCUGAUCAAGGAAGAGAGCCGCCCUGUAGCUUGUUCAUAUGCAAUUCCAGUACGUUCGCUUUACUCUUCUUUCUAUACGAAGUAAGGCCCCACCUCUUCGAUUUGUAUUUUGUAAUAAGACUUCGCUGGGUUGCUCUUGCUCACUAAAUAAAAGAUAGAAGAUAAGACAUAUUUAUAAUUUGAUUGUCUGUAGUUUUUACAUAUCAGCAACUUUACCGUCCAUUAAUCCCGCACCAAGUGUCACAUAAAGAUUGGCUGCAAGACCGAAGCCUGUGCAAGUCAAUGCUGAUGAUGAAAUUUGAGGGCAUCUGCAUCAACUCCCUUAUAAAUAACCAUGUGCAAUAUCACUUACUAAGCUGUGCAACUUCCUAGAACUUGCUCCAAAUUAAGCUUAGCAGCUGGAGAGGAUGCAGAUUUUUUAUUGCUGUCUUUGUCUCCCCCUUCAAACUUAAUACCGAAACAUGGAUACAAAAGUACUCUCCUCCGGAGUCAUAUACACCAACUUGCCGGAAAGCUAUGUCAGACCAGAAUCCGACCGGCCUCGCUUGUCCGAAGUCUCUGAAUGCGAAAACAUUCCCGUUAUUGACCUGGCUUCUCCCAACAGAGCCCAAACCGUGCAGCAAGUUGGCGAUGCCUGCAAAUAUUAUGGUUUUUUUCAGGUACCCUCCUCCCUAUAUCAUUAAUUAGGAUCUUAUUUAUAUGGAUCCAUCCCUAUCUCACUUUAGUUAAGAUACAAGAUAUUGCGAAACUCAACAACCGCAUUUUUCACAAACCCAGUGCAUGUACAUAUGUGUGUGUACAUAUUUCUUGAUAUUCGAGUGAUUUCGGUGCUAGGUUAUUAACCAUGGGGUGUCAACGGAAGGAGUGGAAAAAAUGGUAGGGGUGGCCAAUGAGUUUUUUAACCUUCCUGUGGAGGAAAAAUUGAAGCUGUACUCAGAUGACCCCUCAAAAACCAUGAGACUUUCAACAAGUUUUAAUGUAAAGAAGGAGAAGGUUCAUAACUGGAGAGAUUAUCUUCGCCUCCAUUGCUAUCCUUUGGACAAGUACGUUCCUGAGUGGCCCUCCAAUCCUUCGUCCUUCAGGUACGUUUCUCUCUCUCUCAAUUAUUUGUCUCUCUCUGAUAUAUGCAUCAGACACCAUUGGUAUAUUAUUCUUUAGGCAAAUGCUAUGCUGACUGUCAACCACGUUGCUUUCUAUCAUAUGUAAUUCAUAGUGUACUACGUACAAGGUUCUAAAAGCACUAAUAGGGUAGCGGGUUGGGAUCUAGCGCCUAAGCGGCUAGGCGAAACCUCGACGGAUUUAAAUAAAUCUAUUGUAUUUUGUGUAAAUAAGUGUCUGUUUAUAUUUAAAAUAUUUAUAAUUUCAUCAUAAACUAGAAAAUAAAAUGUUAUGUAUAUUAUGAAGUAUUGGAACAUAAUGAAAACAUGAGAAACAAACAUAUAAUCUAUGUUUAUUUAAGUGUUCAAUAAAUCUCUUACAAUUUAUUGAAAACAAUAAAAUGCAAAAGGAAAGUUAUCUAUUUUCUAUCUAAGUGAGUUGCAACCGAGGCAGUGCCUAGGCUGUUUGAGCUGGCUAGGCGGAUGCCUCAGUAGGUCUAGACGUUAUUUCUUAAUUUUUAAACUCCUAGGCAUUAAUCGGGACGAUGGCCAGUCGCCUAGCGCCUAAGCGGAGAUUGUUAGAACAAUGACUACAUAUAUGAUAUAUCUUAUAGGUCUUUAAUAAAAUAAGUUUUCCAUUAGAAAAUAAUUAAUGUGCAAAAAAUUUACAUCAUCUUUUUCAUAACACGGGACAUGCUUAUCUAAUAUUUGAACUCCUAAGAACGCUCCUCGAUUACGUCUGUUACAAGAAAUUUUAUAAUCAGAAAAGUUUUGAUCAGUUCUUUUCAUAUUUUAAAAUACUCACACGGAGACAUUCUGAAACCUUAAAAUCUCUUUUUGUACAUUGAAAAGCGAAAUAUUAUAAUAGGAACCAGAUAGAUUCAGUCCGAUGUAAUUUGUAUAAUUUUUAGUUUUUAGAGUUUAGCUAGGUUUCUAGGGUUUUCUAAACAAUGUUUAAUUAUCAAAAUUAGUUUUCUUUAUACAUAAAUUUAUAUAUAAUUUGUAUGUUGCUUUGCUAAUUAGUAGUUUCUAGUUAGCAUAUGCCCCUAGUAGUUUCUUAAGAAUAAAUGAAAACACUUAAAGAGUAGUUUAGUCGGCAGCAGUUGCAACCAUUUCUGAUUAUUGUAGGAGGAAAAUGGAUGCACGUUGACUUUGUCAGAGUCGAAUCGGGCUCGAUCAACGGCGGUGGGUAAUUGUCGGAUGAUAUUUUAAUUUGAGACGGGCCGACCUACAUGUUACGCAUUUGAAAAUCUACCCGUACGAGAGUCGUGGCUGAUUGACGGUGAUUGCGGCAUUUUGAGGGUAGGAAGGGGAGAUCCCAGCCGUUGAUGCAUUUUGGUUUUAUAAUACAGUGGGGUAGUGACGUAAGGGGUUAUUCCGCGUUGAUGUAGGCAGUAUGGAUCAUGUGUUUGGUGCGUGAUUGGCUACGUGUAAAAGCGGCAAGCAACCAAUUUAAUUUAACUUAAUUUAAUUUUCUUCAUAAUAUAAUGUGAUGUUUCAAAAAAAAAAAAAUCUAAUAUGAUUCAAUUUUAUAGAGUGAUGCAUUGAACUUUGCAUGAAAGUAGUGCGAGAGUCGAAUCGAGAUGUUGACGUAAUCUCGACUCGAUUCGGAAAAAGACUUAGGAAACAAAAACGUUUAAAUAAAGGUGAAAAUCUUAUCAUGUUUUGUUACGUGCUUUAAUUUUCUUUUAAUUUUUUUUUCUUACAUAAAAAUAUUAUUUAAGAUAUCUUCUCAUGUUUUUUAUAGGGGUGUGCUAUCUACACACCCCAUUUUACUUUUCACACACCCUUUAAUAAUUUAUGUCCAUUGAUCUUCUUCAAUUCAUCCGAUCCGACGGUUGAAAAUUAAAAAGGUGUGUGAGAAGUAAAAUGAGGUUUGUAGAUAUCACACCCCUUUUUAUAUGCUCGGAACAUGAAUACAGUCGUUAUAUGUAACCAUACAAAGUGAAGAAAUACUUAAAAAAAUAUCUUUUUCACUUUAUAAUAAACUAUUCCGCAUUAUAAAACAUUGAAAAUUAUUUCCUCGUGUCUCGUUUUGUUGUCCGUAGCCUUUCUUCAAGUUGAUACUGAGUCAGCAUUGGGCCAUCGAAACUUGUCGUGUCCAAUACGUGGGAUUUUACUGGUCCCUGUAGCUAAAUGGUAUUAAAAUUCAAGGGCAUGGUCCACGGGUUAUUAAAAAAUUAAAAGAAAACUAAUAAAAAAAAUUUGACAACUUUGAGUUUUAACAAAAAUGUGUUGUAAGUGAAUAAUAUCAUGAUUGAAUUUUUAGAGUAAAAAUGUGGUUUUUCGUUAAAGUGAACAGUAUCGAAAGCUUUUCGUUAAAGUUUUCAAAAAUUAAUUGUCAUUAACAAAAAUCUUCUUUUAAUUAAUCUUUUUUGGGCCGGUUCAAGCCGAAAUUAGGUUUGGUUUGCUCUUUCAACCUCUUACAUUAAUUCUUGUGAGCUGCAGGGACACUGUGGGUAAUUACUGUAGAGAGGUUCGAGAACUCGGAUACAGAUUAGAGGAAUUAGUAUCAGAAAGUUUAGGGCUGGAGAAAGAUUACAUAAGGAGCACAUUGGGCGAGCAAGGACAGCACAUGGCGGUCAACUUUUACCCGCCAUGUCCGCAGCCCGAGCUGACUUACGGGCUGCCGGCCCACACCGACCCAAAUGCCCUAACAAUUCUGCUCCAAGACCUUGGAGUUGCUGGCCUUCAAGUUCUCAAAGAUGGCAAAUGGGUUGCUGUCAAUCCCCAACCUAAUGCCUUUGUCAUUAACAUUGGUGACCAAUUACAGGUAACAUAUAAUCCAAAAGAUUUCUCUGUAUGACGUCUAGUCUUCUUAAAGGUUGAAGUAUUGAAGAAUAUCACUCGCGAUCCAUUUUAUUAACUUUAAUCCUAUUCGUCGAGAGUGUUGAUUACAUAGGUAAAAAUUACGCUUUGAAGUUUCGAUUUUUUGUUAUAGGUAUCAGAUUGUUUAUUCAAACUCGAAUUUUAUCCAAUCGUUAAUUUACACCCUAAAACAAGCAACCAUAGUAAGUUCAAUCAAAGUUAAAGAGAACUAAAGAAAUGAGGUUUUCUCAUCGAGACGAUUCUUUAAGCAUAUCCACAUAAUAAUUAGCAUACUAUACCUUAAAAUUGAAACCGUAAAAUGUGAUCAUUUACAUGUAUAUCAACCAUUCCCAUAAAUGAGAUAAAAUUAAGUUAAAUAAAAUUGAUCGCAAAUGAUAUUUUCUCAAAACGUAAAGUUCUUGUAUUCUGAAAUUAUUGACUGGUGCAGGCUCUAAGUAAUGGGAUUUACAAGAGUGUGUGGCAUCGGGCCAUUACCAAUACUGAAAGACCAAGGCUCUCAGUAGCUUCAUUCUUCUGCCCACAAGACGAUGCUCUAAUAAGCCCAGCAAAAGCUCUCACAGAGGAUGGAUCUGCAGCCAUAUAUAGGGGAUACACCUACACUGAGUAUUAUAAGAAGUUUUGGACUCGGGACUUGGAGAAAGACCAUUGUUUGGACCUUUUCAGGACUCAGCAGCUGCCCUAGCCUCAUCAAAUGAGAGAUUUUUCAAUGUGACUAUCACACGAGGUGGUACACCAUGUGUCUCUAUAUAAAUGGUGAAUUAUGUGUGUUAAAAGGUUAAUAACUUAAAAAAUAAAAUUUAUAUCAUUUGCAUAAAAACACAUGGUGUACCAUCCGUAUUCCCGUCACAACUAAAAAUUUCUCUCAUCAAACAUAUAUGCGUUUGUUUAUUCAAAGACGCACAAAACUCGUAAUAUAUUUGUUGCUUAUCAAAUUAUGGCUUCUCAUGGCAGGUUGGAAUGCUUCUGUAAUUUUGUUGAUUUAAUUUCUUGAUCAUAGUAUCAGUUUGAAUGAACAUCGUGAAAAAUAAUUUCCCAGCUUCGUCAUGAAUAAUAAUGUCCGUCAUUUUAUUAUUCCCUUCUUGCCAUUUUCUCUGUUUUAGGAGAGUUCGUGUAUGAGUGGCUGUAUGCCGAACCUUAUUAACGGUAGGUUUGGGUGAUGAGAAAAUACAUGGAGUCCUGAUUUUGUAUUUGUGGCAGUACAUACAUCUGUCUGUUGUACGACAAGUUUUCUCAUUUGUACGACUCAUUUGGAAGUGAUUUUAAAAUGUCUAGUUUUCAUUAUGAAUUGUUGGUUUCAUAAAGAGUAGGAAAGAUAUCAUGGUUUUUUUUGUUGUAUUAAUUUAUAACAUUUUUAAGGGAAGUGUUAUUGGCACUCCAAAAAUCUCAUUCUACACUCCUCACAAGUGUAUUUUUCUUUCCUAAUAUGAAAGUUUGGAGUGUGGAAUAUGAUUGUUGGAGUGCUAAUAACAAUUUCCCAUUUUUAAUUAAUAAAUAUUUAUUCAUCGUGUGGCAUUCACAUCAGUAGAAAAUUUUGAGCCCAUUGUUUUACUUGUUAAUUAACAAAAUUUCUAAAGGUAAGUGGUACAUUGCAACAUAAUACAAAGUUCAAAUGGUAAAUAAUACAAAUGAAAAAUUCAUAUGGUAGAUGCGCACAUCGACAAAAGUGCAUAUAGUAUUUACGUAAACUCCUCUAUUUUUUUUUAUAACUUAUGAAAGCCUACCUAUGGUGAAAAAUCCACAUGCGAUCACCAUAUAAAAAACCAAAGCAAUAUGAAUACAGAAGUUAUCAUACCUAAAGCCAAAGUUAUAUUCAAUUCUUCUUAAGAAGUUCAAUGACAUAGGUAUUGAAUGCAGGGCACAUGACUCGGAAGCCUUGGAAUCCAGAUCCUUUAGCCAAGACCUCGAACUCCUCCUCCGUUCUCUCUCUUCCGCUAGGGCUGUUAGUUAACAUGAUCAGGUCGUGAUGGGCAACUACCUUGGUGGCAAGGUUGCUGGUCGGGGCUACCUGAAGAAUGCACUCGGCAAGAAUCACCUUGCCGUUAUCAGGAAGAGCAGCAUAGCAGUUCUUCAAAAUCUUCAGACAAUGCUCGUCACUCCAGUCGUGACAUACACACUGUAAGAUUGCAAACACAAUUUUAAUAUUAGCUCCAUAUAUAUUAACCAUCCAAGCAUGAUCUCAUCCGAAAUUGUUAUUAGCAAUACAAGUAGUCAUUGACUUUAUUUUUGAUAAAUCAUAUAUAACUCACCUUCAUGAAAAUUGCAUCUCCUUUUGGAACAGUUCCAAACAUGUCUCCUCCAAUGUGCUCCACACCUGUAUCCAAAUCCAUAGAUCUCAAACUCAUUAGGAAAAAUGAUAAAUAGUACAAGCAUUUUUUUUUAAUACAAGCAAAUACUGGAGGAGAGGAAUCAAACACAAGGUUUUUUCUUAACUAAUGGAGCUACAAGCAUAAUUGUAAAUGAAGAAUCUACCAGGAUAUUGGGGGGCAUCUUUGAUGACAUGAGGCAAGUCGAAGUUAAUGCCCUUAAUCGAAGGGUACUUAGAAACGAUCAUGUUAAUGACAGCACCAAUGCCACCACCAACAUCAACGACGGAUGUGAGGCCCUCAAAGCCCUUGUAGGUCUCAAGAAUUUUCUUCAUGGUAAUGGUGGAGAUGUCAGCCAUUGCCCUGUUGAAGACCUUGUUGAAUCUUGGGUCAGUGCUAUGGUACUCAAAAGCAGUCAUUCCAUAGGCCUUGUUGAAGGGAAUCCCUCCUUCAAGAACUGCAUCUUUCAGGUGGUACCUGCAGAAACCCAAACAUACAUGUCAGACUCACAACCAAAAGCACAUAUUAUGUGUAAAAUAAAACGAUAUGCCAAUGGGUCAGUAACGGUCAUAUGGGUUGGCCCAUAUUGGUUUAUACUACAAUAGCAAAGGCACGAGGUAUAUUGGACUGGGCAAUUGGUAAAGCAGUAAACCGUUGUAUCCGAGUUAAAUUUUAACUUCUGACAUUUUAUUAUACUAUAAUUCAUGAGAAGGAAAUUCAAAUUUAUGCGUUAAUGAAAAAACACACGUCAUUAGUUAAUUGAUCUAAUUCAUAUUGUAAUUACAUUUUUACGAUGAAAAGAACAAGAGUGGUAUUCGGGGAUAUUGCUCUUCGCACUCUUUUACCUUUUCACACAUCUUUAUUAAUUUUUAUCUAUUAAUUUUUUUCAACUCAUUCUAUUCAAAAGUCAAAAUUUGAGAAAAAUAUAUAAAAGAUAAAAAUAAGUGUAUUUAAAGCACCACACAUCAUAAAAUAGGUCACCAGACAUCACUCAUCAUAUACCGUUCAUAUCCUUUCGUGUAUGAGGCAUAUGUUGUCAAUUUAUUCUUCCAUUUAUCGGUCCUCUCCAACGCCUUCUGCCUUUUUUAUGCCACACAAGUCCAAAAGUAUAGUAAAUUCGACUAUAUUCUAACUUUAGUUUGAUGUACUUAUAAAUUAAUGUUGAGACUCAACUAAUCAAAUCGAACAACUGUAAAAUGUCACGUGGUAAUAAUUGGUCACUUCUUUGUUAAUUUGAAAUUUAGAUUUUAUUUGAAGGUUUAAAACAUAAUGAGAUUUGCCACUACGGUUUAGUGGUAUUCUUUUUCAUUUGUAAGUGAGAUAUCUUAUGUUCGAUUAUCGCUAAAGGCGAAUUCGAAUCACAUUAUUGCUAACCCAUUAUAAGGUUAAGUCCACCCUCUCAUUUUAGUAUAGAUAAUAUCGUUUAAUUUGUUAAAAAAAAAACAUAAUGGGAUUUUGCCACUUAAAAGUGAAUUUGAACCACAUUAUUGUUAGCUCAUUAGAAGACUCAACCCACUUUUCUACCUUGUAGAUAAUAUCGUUUGUUAAGAAAAAGAAAAUGUAAUGAGAUUUUGUCUCCAAAACAAUUGUUGCAAGGAUUUUUUUUUUUUAACAAUCGAUAUUAUUUACACUAAGGGGGAGUGAGCAGUCUAAGCCUUACAAUGAUGUAGCAAUAAUGUGGUUCAUAUUCCUCUUUGGCAAGAAUCGAACCUAAGACCUCUCACUUACAAGUAAAGAUAAAUACCACUAAACCGUAAUACUAAUUAAGUGGCGCAAAGACUUUAACUCUAAACAACACAAACAAAAAAAAUGAAACGGCUUCACCUAACGGGACUCUAAAACUUCGAACCCCCAAACACCAAACCGGCCAAAGGUAACAGUAGCAUUUUAUGAUUGUAUUAUGAUCAACCUAGCUAUUUAAAUCCUAUUAAUUAAUGUUUGAUAAGAUCCAAUUAAGAUGAUAAAUUAAGAAGAAUGGUAAGUACCAGCUCUCAACAGGGACCUUGUCCAGGUUCAUGAGGCAGAGAGAAGCAAUAGAAACACCAUCCUCAUUCGUUGUCAGGAACUUACAGACAGGGCCUAGGCCGUACAGCCGCUCGACUUUGCCAUCCUGAAGCGUGCGGAGGGAGUAAGCGAGGAUGGAGUAGCUGGCCAGGAGGCGCAGCAUGCGGUCCAGCAUGACGGGCGCGUCAGGGUUCUUGGUCGGCAGCUGCGAAGCUAAGUCCGCCGGAGAGACGAAAGCACCAGGCCCGGCUUUCGCCAUAAUCUCAAGGAGGUCGAGCUCGAUGGUUGCCUUGAGCACCAUGGGGAGAACGGAGGCGCUGGCUAGCUGCAUGGCGAAGAGGCUGGCUUCUUCGUCGGAGACUUGGGUUGGAGUCAUCUGAGUCUCUCUGGUUGAAUCCAUUUUAUUGAUUUUGGUAUUGGGUUGGUCGGUUGAGAGAGACAGAGAGUAGCGAGGGGGGAGGAGAAGGCUGUGCUAAGUGGCAAUAUAUAUUGAUUUCUUUGCUCACUCACCACCAUUGAUGUGGUAGUACCAAGGCGUUCACCACCCAUGCAGGCCCCGACAUGUAAGGCCGGCCUUGAGGGUAGCCGAAGUAGGUGCCUGCCUAAGGCUUUCACUUUGCAGGGGCCCCAGAUUUUAAAAAAUAUAUAUAAAAAUAAAUUUUACAAUUAAAAUUCAAUAAAAAUAUCAAAAAAUAAUAUCAUAGGCUAUUGAAAAAGAAUUGGUUGAAAAUCAGAUUAUGUAAACUUAAUUAGUAUGACAUAUUUUGAGGAAAAUUCCUUAUGAGGAUUUGUAGGGGACCUCUCUAGCUUUCAAAAGAGACUCAAAAGAGACAUUUUGGGACCAAAUCGAAGUUGAUUUGGUCGGUCAAAAGUCUGAUUUUCUGAUAAGUCUGAAUUUAAGUUUAAAUAGAAACUUUUUAUUUCAAUUUUAUUCUAAGACUUUUUAGGGUUUUAUUUUGUAGUAGUAUAAAUAAGACUUUUUAGCCAUUAGAGUUAGAAGGGAAGGAGAGGAGGAAACGCAUGCAUACUUUAGAGAGUUUUUUAAGUAUAUUUUCUAGGUGUUUUCUAUCCUUAUUCUUAAUAAUAUUUUGUUUUAUGAUUGUUCGCAGGUAGUUUCUUUUGCUAAGACGAAGCCACAAGCUUUAGCAUGAAUAUAUGUGAUUUUAUUAAUUAGCUUAUGAAUGAAUGCAUGUUUGCUUUGAAUUAUUAAUAUACCAUGAUUAAACUAUCUAAUUGUCUUAGUGAUUCGCGACCAUUAGGGUUUUUAGACAAAUAAUUUGAUGCAAUUUUUGUUGAAAUAUCACCUUGAAAUUGAGGAGGGCUUCUUGUGAUUACUAAUUGUAAGUUCACUUAAGGCGAACAUCACGUUCUUAAGGGUUGCAUGGUUUUUCAAAGGGUUUUCACAAAGCUUAAUGAGUCUUGCAUGUUUAUAUUUGAUAUACAUCAUAGACGGAUUGCAAGUUAGAUAUACGUUUUCGCUUGAACAUCACGAGGAAAAUAUGCAUUAGGAAAACCUAACAUUCAAAGCAUGUAUGUAGAAAUUCAUAAGUAAUUGGUAAAAUUGCAUAGGAUUGUUAAGGGGACGGCGGAAUCCUAGACUUUUACAAUUUGAUUUUCAAAACGUUUUUCUUUUGCUUUCUUUACUUUGUCAAAUAUUUAAUUAUUUUUAUUUAAAUUCGUUUUUAUUAUUUUAAAUUCCAAAAUCAACCUUUUCAAAACUUUGUUCUAAAUAAUUAGCUAAGAAUUAGUUUAAAUACAAAUUAUUCAUUCAAUUCAUGUGGAAAACGAUAUUGCUUGAGCCGCUAUACUACGACAAUCUUGUACUCUUGCAAUUAUUUUUAAGUGUUUUUAUCCCUACUUGUGUAGGUGGUAAAAAUCCUAUCAAAAAUCAUAAAUUUUCUCUCAGAAAUUCAAGAAACGAAAAUUCUUUGUCUGUUUUUAUAUGUUGUGGAGACCCAAUCUGACUUGUGUGUUCUUCCAGGUCGAUCUCGGCCGAGGGUUUUAGACCUCUUUAUUUUUCCAUAUUUUCGGAUUAUUCCCUCAUAAUUAGGGAAUUAAAUUGUUCCUAUUAUUCGGUAAAAUCUAAAACGAUUUGCAGCUUUGAUUUGGCCUUUGCAUGUUUGUGGUAUUUGAAAUUAUGGUUUUUUUUGGGGAUUGGAUUUUGGGAUUUAAGUUGAAUUCGUAUGGGUAUUUUUUCAGAAAUUUUUGUUGUUUCCGUGUUGGAAUUAAAAGAACUAUUCAUGUUGGAUUUUUACAUAAGUGUGUCUCAGCUGUUGUUUUCGUUUUGUUGUGUGAUUUUUAUGUGGUGUUUAUAUGUGCAGGCGCUUGUGUUAGUAUUUUGUGUUUUUAUUUUUGUCCCAGCUGCUGAACUUCAUUUUCAAUUUCGUUUAAUUUAUGGAUUAUCAGAUGUUGUGGUUUGGCAUGCAUUGUAAUAUGAUUUGAACGAGUCUAAUUAAUUUUAAUUUUUCAUGAUUCCGGUAGCAAAUUGCAUCGCUGCGGUUUUCUGGGUCUCUUGGACCGUAGUCAGAGAGGAAAAGAACUAGAAAUAGCAAAAGAAAUCAAGGGAUACAAGAAGAUCAUACUUCUGACAUUGCAAAUGGAAUAGAAAUGUUUAACGAAAAUGUUUCUGGUCAUUCGUUUCUUCUCAGCUAUCAAUUUGUUGCUUGGAGUUUACGUUUUUUUUGCACACAAUGCCAAAAAGAAUUAGGAAUAACAAAAACAAUUAGAUCAUAUAAGAUUAUAUUUGUGUCGUUCGCCGCAGCGGAACGCGGGUGUUUUUGCUAGUGUUAUACUCAAAGUCAAUGGGUUAUUUUUUUAUGAUUUUACUGGCUUUUAAUUUUGUUUCUUAUUGUGUUCUAGAAGCUGAACAAAUAUAAUGACAACAUGAAUAACGGGAAAGCCUAUAACAUAAUACCAGUUUGAAUGAACAUCAUGGAUAAUAAUUUGAUAGGUACGUCAUGAAAAUAAUAUGAAUGUCGUUUUAUUAUUCCCUUCUUGCCAUUUUUUCCGUUUUAGGAGAGUUCUUGUGUAUGAGCGGUUGUAUGUCGAAAUCAAUUGACGGGUAAGUUCGGUUGAUAAGAAGAUCCAUGAGGUUUUGAUUUUGUGUUUGUGGCAAUAUAGACAUGUAAUUUGUCCGUCGUAGUUGUCACUUGUAUUAUAGGAAUAUAAUAUUUAAUUGUAAUUAGUGUAAGAUUCCUAUUUCAAUAGGGUGUAACCUUGUAUAUAUUUUGUAAUAUUUUUCACAUAACAGUACAAAGAGUCAUGAUUCUACAUGUUAUCAAAGCAACAAAAUCACUUUCUUAUUAUUAUUUUUCUAACUUAUGAAAACCUACUUAUGUGUAAUGUCCACGUACGGAUACACGAUCACCAUAUAAAAAACCAAAGCAAUAUAAAUGCAGAUGGCAGCAUACCAAGGGCAAAUUAUACUCAAUUCUUCUUAAGAAAUUCAAUGGCAUAGGUGUUGAAGGCAGAGCACACGACUCGAAAGCCUUGGAAUCCAGAUCCCUUAGCCAAGGCCUCGAACUCCUUCUCCGUCCUCUCUUUUCCGCCGGGGUUGUGAGCUAACAUGAUCUCGUCGAUAUGGACAACUCCCUGGUGGCAAGGCUGCUGUCCGGAGCUACUGGAAGAAUGCACUCAGCAACAAUUACCUUCCCAUUGUCAGGGAGCGCAGCAUAGCAGUUCUUCAAAAAUUUCAAGCAAUGCUCGUCACUCCAGUCGUGGCAUAUCCACUGUAAGAUUGCAUACAGGAUUUGAUAUUAGUUCCAAUUAUAUUGAGCAACUAAGCUCCUAUGAGAAAUUAAUAUUAGCACUACAAAAUAAUCAUCGGCUCUUUUUUGAUAAAUAAUAACUCACCUUCAUGAAAAUUGCAUCUCCCUUUGGAACACUUACAAACAUGUCUCCUCCAACAUGCUCCACACCUAUAUUCAACAUCCACUGACCUCAUAUUCGUUAGGAAAAAUGAUAAAUAGUACAAAUAUUAUUUUUAUAUACAAUAACAUUAGGGGAAGAGAAAUUGAACUUGAGAGAUCGAAUGUAAAGGUGAACGCUUUUAAGUAAUUGAACUACAAACAUUAUCAGAAAUGAAGAACAUACCAGGAUAUUGAGGAGCAUCUUCGAUGACAUGAGGCAAGUCGAAAUUAAUGCCCUUAAUCGAAGGGUAUUUAGAGACGAUCAUGUUAAGGAUAGCGCCAGUGCCACCACCAACAUCAACGAUGCAUGUGAGGCCCUCAAAGCCAUUGUAGUUUCUUCAAGAAGUUUCUUCAUGAGAGAGAGAUCGAAUGUAGUUCUCAAGUAGUUCUCAAGAAGUUUCACAUGAGUGAGGUCGAUAAGAUAAACAGCUUGACUUUUAUAUACAUUCAACUAAGCUAACAUGUAGAAUUAGUAUGUAAAGACAUUGCACAAUUAGUAGAAAGAAACUGAAUGUUCUUGAUCACAAAGACAUGGUCGGCAAAAAAGUUAUGUUUCCAUAAGAAACAGAAGCAACAUGUAGUUCACACAAAUUUUUUCCAUUAUAGUUAGCUUUUGAAAAAACUGCUACACCGUUUUACAAAUUCAAUCGUUAAACAUGAUAUUGUAUUCCAAGACAAAGAUAAAGUAUAUGGUUUGUUUACAAAUCAAAGCUAGAAACCCCAAAGCUUUUUGCAUAUUCAUCAUCUCUCUGAUCAUGAAAAAUUAAAAUUAAUAAUAAUCACUCAAAUCAUAUUACAAUAUAUAACAAACUAUGUCAUCUGAUAAUCGAUAAAUUUUAAGAAAAUUUAAAAUGAAAACCAUAAUCUGAAAUGUCUGAAUUUUCUCAAACACUUUCUGAGAAGCCAAACCAAAACAAAAAACAAAAACAAAAACAAAAGGAGAUGAAUGAGAAAUGAGAAACGAGUAAUUACCAUGUCUGGAUUUGGAUGAGGCGGGAAGAGAAGGCCAUGAUCGGUUCACAGUCUUCCUCUUCUUCUUGUAAUUUAUGUUCCUCUUUCAAAUUUCAAAAACAAAAAAUCCACCCAUACUUAAUUCCCAUAAAAAAAAAAUUAAAAAAAAAUAAAAAAACUAGUAUAAAAAUUUCAUGGCACCUAUAAAAAUUCACCGUCACUAGUAUAAAAACCACCCAUACUCCAUUCCAUUUCUUCCCAAAACCCAGGGAUUCGGUGCCAGAACUGCAUCUUCUCAGUUGUUGCAUAUCUUCUUGCUAAUGUGUCAUUGACUUCGCACGCCUAGAAACCAAGCCAUCACAAUGCAAACGCGAGUAUCUCUGAUUAGCAUCGAAGGGGGUUGGCUUGGAAACUAAGAGCUGAGUAUCAUUCAAGGGAUUAUUCUGUAGCGUUGUGCCUACUCCGGAUGAUGCCAAAGUGGCCCCUUGAAGAGGUAAUGAAGGUAGUCAUCUAUCUAGCCUUUGGAAAGGUGCACUAUAUUGCAUGAACAUGAGGAAAUGCGAACAAAUAAGAAUUAUAAAAACUAAAGUGAAUCAAACCCAUGGAUCUUAUUGGGAUUACCUUCAUAAAAGCUAAGCAUUUUGGAAAAAACAUUUUCAAUUAAAAAUAACUUUGAAAAUGUCUUUCUAUUCAAGUAUGUUGGCCCAAAAUUGAAAGUGAUAGAUGCUUUCGAACAGUUUAGUUUGUAACCAUCAUUAACAUUACAAUUUUUUAGAAGUAAUGUAGACGAAUAUAUUUAGUUGCAUCAGGCUCCUUAGUUUCCAAUUGACAUGCCAAUUUAUGAUCCAUUGCUCUUUCUUUUUUAGACAAUAAAUCGAAAACAUUGAUAUAACCAAAUGCAUUCGAUAAUAGAAAACUACGUAAAUUUCCUAAGAGAGUUCUUGAACGGAAGAACUGACAAAGUAUUGAGUUGAUGAUGGCUUUUAUACCUACCCCAAUGAAUAGCUGCUGGAAGAAGUAUCUCAGGAAUAAGCAAUGCCUAUAAUGGAUUGCUCGAAAGCGCAUAUUCUUUGAAUUCCUCACCGCAAGGACAACAGCAAAGAGCACCGAUCUCUGCAUUUCCACCAAUAUAUACAAAAGAGUCAACAUUUGAGUUUAUAUUUUACUUAAAAUAUGAUUUUAGCCCUUCCAACUCAAUUUUCUUCAUAUAAAACCCUACAUAACUUUUUUACUCAAAGAAAACCCAAUGACUAGGAUCCACAUAAGCAAAUUCAUUAAUUUCAAUAUUACUUCACACAUUUUACAUUUUUCACAUGCCUAAAAUACCCCUAUUACAUAUUUGAUGUAGACAAUUAAUUGUAAGGAGAGAGUAAAUGAUUUUGCAACAAGAAAAACAAGACAUUAAUGUUAAAAAUUUAUUGCAUAUUAAUUUUUUUAGAAAGGCUUUGAAUUUUCAUAAACUAUUUGAUUAGUUUUUUUCACGCUACUCUUGAACACUUUUGAAUUUAUCCUUUUUUUAUUAAUAUAUUAGAACAUUGUAUUUCAUUAUCUACAUGCACAUUAAUUUACCUACAACAAUUAUACCAUGAGUGUAAUAUAAUAUCUCUUUUUUACAAUGAUGCAAAAUAAUGUUUAUACCAACAACAAAACGUGCCUAACAUAUGUACUAAUACAUGGAAAAUAAUUUACCUAUAUUAAGAAGAAAUGUAGUUCGAUGCGUAGUAUUAAAAAUACUAUGUUACACCCAUGUUUAUACAACAAUAAAACGUGCCUAACAUAUCUAACAAUACAUGGAAAAUAAUUUAUCUACAAGUUAGAUAAAUGUUAUUUGGUCGGGUGUAUAUAAAUUGUUUUAAUAAUUGGAAAAAUUAAAUAUAACUAGGUGUAGUGAAAUUUUUUUCUAUAAUUAGAACAAAUUAAUUUACCUACCUACUAUUUGAAAUGUUCAUUUCUAAUGAUGCAAAAUGUUCAUUACCUAACUACAAAAUAAUUUCCAAUAAUUUACCCACAACAAUUAUACCAUGGGUGUAAUGUAAUAUCUUUCUUUACAAUGAUACAAAAUAUUGUAUGUAUACCAACAACAAAAUGUGCCUAACAUAAGUACUUGUACAUGGAAAAUAAUUUACCUAUAACAAAAGAAAUGCAGUUUGAUGUAUAAAAUCAACAAUAAAUUUACCUACAAGUUAGAGGAAUGUUAUUUGAUUCAAAAUAUAUAAUAUAGGUGUAGUAUUUUUUUUUAAAUAAUUGGAACACACUAAUUUACCUACCAAUUAAUAUGGGUAAAAUUGCUACAAAAUAUAUCACGAAAAAAAAAACUACUUUUCUAGUUUGACAUGGAUACGGUUAAUGCAAACACUUUUUACAUUUUAUUUCACUUUUUCUACUACUUUUAUUUUGGCAUAAAUUUAGGAAUUUGGAAAACGGACCAUAAAGUAUGAGUGGCAUGAGUGUAAAUAAAUUGUAUUUAUAGGUCAAUAGUGUUCCCAUAUAUUUGCAAAUUUUAAAUUUUGGCUUAAACUGGAUCUUUAAAGAUAGAUGAGUUUUUAUCUAGAAAUAAUAAGUUGUAAGGGCCAAAAUCUAAAGCACCCUAUUUUUUUUUCAUAUUCUGUUUCUUCAUUUUCUUCUAUAUCACUUUCUAUACUCAUAUAUAUACUCAUAGUUUAGUUUAUAUUGGACAGGACCGAUCAUCAUAUGCUCAUAUAUAUGCGUUUGUUUAAUCAAUAAUGCUAUUUAAAGGUACAAAACUAAUCGCAUUUCUGAGACACUCGAAAAUAGCGGUGGACUCUACAAAUACACGCAAAACAUACAUGUGCUAAAGAAUCUAUAACAAUGCGAUUAAUUUUGGGAGUCUAUAUAGUAUUACUUGUUAUUUAUUUAUUGCCUAUCUGAUUAUGGCUUCUCAUGGCAGGUAGGAAUGCUUCUGUAAUUUGGUUGAUUUAAUUUCUUGAUCAUAAUACCAAUUUGAAUGAACAUCAUGGAUAAUAAUUUGACAGCUACGUCAUGAAAAUAAUAUGAAUGUCAUUUUAUCAUUUCCUUUUUGCCAUUUCUCUGAUUUAGGAGAGUUCUUGUGUUGUGUAUAAGCGAUAUGUCGAAAUCUAUUGACGGGUAAGUUCGAGUGAUAAGAAAAUCCAUGAGGUCCGAUUUUGUGUUUGUGGCAAUACAGACAUGUAAUUUGUCCGUUGUACACUAGAUUCUUUCAUUUUUUAGACCCUAUUGCAUGGGUAUGAUUCCAAAUUUAUAACAUACAAGCAUGUUAGAAUAGAAUUAAUUAAUCCAGAAUUUUAUUCAUAGUUGUCACAUGUAUUAUAGGAAUGUAAUAUUUAAUUGUAAUUAGUGUAGGAUCCUAUUUCAAUAGGGACUAAUGUAACCUUGUAUAUUUAUUGUAAUAUUUUUCACACAACAAUACAAAGAGUCAUAAUUCUACAUGUUAUCAAAGCAACAAAAUCACUUUCUUAUUAUUUUUUUGUAACAUAUGAAAACCUACUUAUCGUGUAACAUCCACGUAUGGAUACACGAUCACCAUAUAAAAAACCAAAGCAAUAUAAAUGCAGAUGGCAACAUACCAAAGGUAAAUUAUACUCAAUUCUUCUUAAGAAAUUCAAUGGCAUAGGUGUUGAAAGCAGAGCACACGACUCGAAAGCCUUGGAAUCCAGAUCCCUUAGCCAAGGCCUCGAACUCCUUCUCCGUCCUCUCUUUUCCGCCGGGGUUGUGAGCUAACAUGAUCGCGUCGAUAUGGACAACUCCCUUGGUGGCAAGGCUACUGUCCGGAGCUACCGGAAGAAUGCACUCAGCAACAAUUACCUUCCCAUUGUCUGGGAGCGCAGCAUAGCAGUUCUUCAAAAAUUUCAAGCAAUGCUCGUCACUCCAGUCGUGGCAUAUCCACUGUAAGAUUGCAUAAAGGAUUUGAUAUUAGUUCCAAAUAUAUUGAGCAACUAAGCUCCUAUGAGAAAUUAAUAUUAGCACUACAAAUAAUCAUCGGUUCUUUUUUGAUAAAUAAUAACUCACCUUCAUGAAAAUUGCAUCUCCCUUUGGAACACUUACAAACAUGUCUCCUCCAACAUGCUCCACACCUAUAUUCAACAUCCAUUGACCUCAUAUUCAUUAGGAAAAAUGAUAAAUAGUACAAAUAUUAUUCUUAUAUGCAAUAAUAUUAGGGGAAGAGAAAUUGAACUUGAGAGAUCGAAUGUAAAGGUGAGUGCUUUUAAGUAAUUGAACUACGAACAUUAUUAGAAAUGAAGAACAUACCAGGAUAUUGGGGAGCAUCUUCGAUGACAUGAGGCAAGUCGAAGUUAAUGCCCUUAAUCGAAGGGUAUUUAGAGACGAUCAUGUGAAGGACAGCGCCGGUGCCACCACCAACAUCAACGAUGGAUGUGAGGCCCUCAAAGCCAUUGUAGUUCUCAAGAAGUUUCUUCAUGGUAAUGGUAGAGUGGUCAGCCAUUCCCUUGUUGAAGACCUUGUUGAAUCUGGGGUCAGUGCCAUGGUACUCAAAAGCAGUCAUUCCGUAGGCCUUGUUGAAUGGGAUACCUCCUUCAAGGACUGCAUCUUUCAAGUUGUACCUGCACAAACCCGAAACAAGCAUGCAUGACUCAUUUGUGUUUAAAGCUUAAUCUACAAGGAAAGGGCCGGACCCUUGAAAUUUGAUUCAACAACUACAAAUAAGAAGGCCCCUUUAAAAAUUAUAAUAACUUUAAUCGUUGAAUCAAAUAUCAAUAGUCUGAAUAAGUGGACUUGAUAGACUUGAUGGAAGGGAUCCGGAGAGAAUCAUUUUCCAAUCUACAAUACCAAAGUACAAGCAAUCUUGUAAACUAGGCCAACCGACAUUCCACGUGUUUCAAGGCCCGCAUAACUCACAAUAAUCAGAUAAUUUAUGGGUUUGUUAAAACAACUCUCCCUUCUUUUAUUGAAUUCGGAUCCUCUUUGUAGGAAUAUUAAGAAUCUUAAAGAUUCGUAAAUCGUAUCAAUUCAUUGUACAUCGUACGAUCAUAAAACUAUUUGCAUUUUUUUAUUUAAAAUUAAACACAAACAACACUUGAUGAAAUCUGACCGUACGAUCACAGAUCUUCAGGAUUCUCACAAAGAAGAUUCAGAGAGAAUUUGUUGGUCUUUUAUUGACAUGGAUUGCGUCAAUCAGUUAGUAAAAUAGUAUCCUUUUAUAUUUGAGUACAAAUUAUCAUUUUUAUAGUUUUGAUAAAAAUGAGGGAGGAAGUUAAUUUAAAUUUCACCUCUAGCUAAUUGACGGAACUUACACUCCAUAUAGAAGAAUAAAAUAGUUAAAACAUACAGUUGUCCUAAGGAAAAAGAUUGAUAAGAAAUAAACGUGUAACAUCGAAACACUUUGGUGUGGUUGUUGAAGUGGUUUUACCAACUUUCCACUCCUAAUUUGAUUUAAGUGGAAAUCAUAAAACAGGUGACCAGUCAUCAUAUAGCGUAAUGCUAGAAAAAUAAAAUUUAAAAAUAAAAUUUACAAAUUAAUUGAUAUGAAAAUUAAUUGUUGAAUUAUUACUUAAAAGAUGAGACAUUAAUAAACAUGAUUUUUUUUUAUUAAUGACAUAUAAUUUAGUUUAAAAUUUUUAUUUAAAAUUUGGUUUCUUUAAAAGUCUGACAAGAAGUCAAUUUGGAGUCUUGUCCGUCCCCAACCGCCUAAUGGGCCAAAAGUAAUAUGAACAACGAAGAAAACAUUAGGAAAAAUAAAUUUUAACGAAAAAGUUUUGAUAUUUUUUAUUUUAAUAAAAAAAUUAUAAUUUUACAUUAAAAAAUCAUUUAUAAUACUAUUCAUUUUAUUUUUUAUUUUAUCUUAAAAUUUUCAAACCAAUUUUUAUUAGUUUUUCUUAGGAAAAAAUAGAGAACAAUCACAUAUUAAAGCCAUAACUCACAGUUCGUACGUAACAUUUUAUGAAUAUUGUAUUAUUAUCAACCUAUUUGAACCCCAUUAAUUAAUGUUUGUUAACGAUCAAAUUAAGAUGAUAAAUAAAGAAGAAGAAUGGUAAUUACCAGCUCUCCAUAAGGACCUUGUCCUGAUUCAUGAGGCAGAGAGAACCAAUGGAAGCACCAUCCUCGCUCUUUGUCAAGAACUUGCAGACGGGGCCGAGGCCGUACAGCCGCUCGACUUUGCCGUCGGGAAGUGUGCGGAGGGAGUAAGUGAGGAUAGAGUAGCUGGCCAGGACGCGCAGCAUGCGGUCCAGCAUGACGGAGGCGUCAGGGUUCUUGGUCGGCAGCUGCGAAGAUAAGUCAGCCGGAGAAACAAAAGCGCCAGGCCCGGCUUUUGCCAUGAUCUCGAGGAGGUCGAGCUCGAUGGCUGCCUUGAGCACCAUGGGGAGGACGGAGGCGCUGGCUAGCUGCAUGGCGAAGAGGUUGGCUUCUUCAUCGGAGACUUGGGUUGGAGUCAUCUGAGUCUCUGGGGUCGAACCCAUUUUUUGGAUUUGGUGUUGUUGAUGGUGUUGGUGUUGGUGGGGAGAGAGAGAGAGAGAGAGAGAGAGAGAGAGAGAGAGAGAGGAGGAGGAGGAGGAGGAUGAGGAGGACUGAGGGUGGAAGAGAUGGUGUGUGCUAAGUGGUAAUAUAUAUGUAUUUCCUUGCUCACCCACCGCCAUUGCUGUAAAAGCAAGGUGUCCACCACCCAUGCAGGACCCCACAUGCGUCCCACACGUCUUUACCUUUUAGAAAGCUAAUUAAAAUAAUUUCAAUUCUUUAUCUGCUUUUGUUUUAUUUCUUUUUUAGGAGGGUGUGUAGUCGGAAUUCACACUCAAUAUGAAGGAUUUGUACAAGCUUUGUUAGAUUAGUUGUUUAAUUAAGAGUAUAUAUUUAAUUUGUGUUUGAUUUUUCUCCCCUUAAUUUUGUUGUUUAAAAAGAAAUAUGAAUAAUUUACAAAUCCAAACUUUCCUAUUAAAAAGUGCAAUUUUUCUUCGAAUGUUAUACUCAAGGUCAAUGGGUUUUGAUUAAAGGGAAAGCCUGUCACAUCAUUCCACUAUAUAGUAUACAUCACCAGUUCGAGCAUAAGCAUGCCAAAAUAAAGAUGACAAAAAAGGUAAACCCUUCAAUCCAACGGGGAAAAAACUAAGCAAGUUUUUCUACAGAAAUACAGCAUGACAUGACAAGGGAUAAUUGGAGAAAAGAAUAGUGAAUUGUCCCUCCGAAGUCCUUCUAGCUGGUGAUAGAGCAUAAAUUUACAAUAAGGUCGUUAUUAUUUAUUUAUUUAUUUUUAAUAGUGUGUGAAAUGAUUUUAAUCUUCAAUUUUCUCUUUAGUUGAUUCGGCAAAUUUUAUAAGAUGAUAAUAAGGACAAUAAUGUUUUAUAGCAUUGAAUGUUGAGCGAUCAAGCAUUAAUAUAUUUCAUAUGAGUCUCCUCAUAGUAUUCUUGAUCAAGCAUCAUAUUUUCUUCAAGCUCGAAAGGUAACAUAUACUGAUUGAGAGACUUUUAGCCUAAAUGAUCCAUAAGAUUGGUAUAACUCCUCACUCUAGUUCCUGACAUUGAAAAUUGAUAUAAUUGGUCUUUGAGUUUGUCCCCUGUAAAUCAUUUUUUGUCAUUCUGUGAAAAAAUAUGUCAAUAUCAUCGUUAAAUGGAGGGGUUAGUUUGACAAAUAUCAUCAUUAAAAAGAUUGUUGUGUGGUCGUCCACAUGACAAUUUAACGAGGAUAGUGGCAAAUUUUUCACGGAAUAAAAUAAUUUACAAUGAACAAACUCAAAAACCAUUUCUAUUGAUUUUCAUUAUUAAGGAUCAAAUUGAGGAUUAUGCUAAUUGCCUAAAAGCCAUGAUUUAGAUGGUAUCAUUGUCAUGGUUUGUGUCAUCGUGACUCAUCCAUGAUGUAUGAAAGGGAUAGGUAUUUCUAUUGGAAAUUUACAAAUAAGAACAAAAAUAAAAAACAAGAGUGUGACAAUUUAAUAAGGAGUUGGCCCGGUAUCUUAUAAUAUGCUAUUACCUAAGCUGCGGUGCAAGAUCAAAUCAGUUGGUGAGUGGAACCUAUCAAUAUUCAUUUCCAAACGUUAUAAUACUUGACCUAAUUUAUAUAAAUAUGGUGGUGUUACUUAGAAGACAACAAUUAUGCCUUCUCCAUACUGAUUCAGGUAUUGUAUUAGGGGUGUGCUAUCCACACACCCCAAAUUACUUCCCACACACCUCUUGUUAAUUUCUGUCCGUUGAUCUUCUUCAAUUCAUCUGAUCCGACUGCUGAAAAUUAAAAGGGUGUGUGAGAAGUAAAAUGGGGUGUGUGGAUAUCACACCCCUUGUAUUAUUGAUUUCUCCAACUCCACUUAAGCUGAAAGGUGUAAAACGUUUAGUUCUCAUGCUUCAUUGGGACAUCAUUCGCACAUGAAUUGUGUGAGUAAGUUGAUUAUCGUCAUUCUUGUUUUGUGAGUUUUACAUGCAUGAACAGUCUGAAUUAGUUUAAAUCUAUAUUAUACGACGUUAAAUUAAAUAAUCUAUGAAAAUUCAGAAAAAGAAAACAGUUUAAACAUAGACAUCGAAUCUUACUUCAUAUUAAUGUUAAUAGUUGCUCAAAUUAAUUAAUUAACAAACUCCUGUGUUGAAAAUUGAAACAAAUGAAAACUCCAUUUGGUAUUAAUUAGGUUUACAAAUGGUAUUAUAUAAUUGGUCGCGGUUGGACAAAUCAAAGGGGAUCACAUCUCACCUAAUCUUUGAACAUGUAGAUGUCGGAUCAGACGCAGCUAUUGGUGAAAAAAUCAAAGUGCUACUUCCACAUCUUAAUUGGACCCCAUCUUUUUCUGGAACAAACUUAACAUUUCCAGAGACCCAGACCCUGAGAUGUAAAAAGAAAAAGUUCGACAAAAUUCAGAACCAGAAGAGGUCCAAACUCCUAAGGUGUCACCUCUUUAACAAAACAUCCUCACCAACCCUGCCAACAAAAUCCUCAUUUCAGGAUUUGUAAAUCAUGUAUAUUUAUCGUAUAUCGUACAAUCAAUUUUUGUUAAAUACUGUUUGUGUUCAAUUUUAAAUAAAAAAACUUAAAACAAUUAAUGAUCUCACGAUAUACGAUAAACGAAUAUAAUUUAUAGAUCUCCAAAAUUCUCACAAAAAGAAUCUGAAAAGAAUCCAAAUUCCCAACCCUGCAAAAGCAUUAAGAAUUAUAUAAAAAAAGAUUAUUAGCUUAACGUGUUUGAUUAUAAUAUUUGGUCAACAAUCAAAUGGAAUAAAGGAGGAUACGUUAAGAUAUAAGGGUAUUAUAUAUAUUAAUUGUAAUGUUCCACCAAAUACAUUAUAAUUGGUAUAAGAUAUAUAAGUAGGAGUCAACACUAGAAAUCGAAAACCGAAGCCAAAAUACGAAUUAAGCUGGACCGCAUUGAACAGUUAAGUUUUUGCAAUUUUGAUACGAUUUUGAUUUGCAACCCAACCACAUCACAAAUGAAAAAUGACUGAUUCCUAACAAUCAUACGUUUGUACGUUUCCUUUCUUUGCUGCUACUUUAUCUAAUCUCUUUUGUGGUGAAUUAUUUCAAAGGGUCAAAUCUUUGAUGCAUAUAGCUCUACAAUUGAUGAAAGUUAAUUGUAGGUGGAGAGCAACAAAUGAUGGGAUAAAUUUGUUUAACUUUAAGCACAAAAUAUAUCUACAAAAGUAUAAAUCGGAAUCAUGGUGAUCCGACGUAUGGUUGCGAGCUUCAAGCUCCCAAAAGUUGAUAUAAUAAAACAUUUUCUCAUGACUUGAUUGAUUUGUUGUUAUCUCUUGCAUGGUUACUUUUAGCUUUUUAUUUUGUUAUUUGUUUAUACGUUUUUUGUAUUAUUAUGCUCUCAUGUUUCUUUAAAUCUUAAUUUAUAUAAGUGCAAGUGAAUGUAAUGUAAUUCUUCUCCCUAGUGCUUUGAAACCGAAACCAUUUGAAACCAAAUCGAGUUCAAAUGGUUUGGUUCCAUUUCUUACAAACUUCAAAACCAAACUGAAUCGCAAAAAAAAUUGAUUUUAGUUUCACCCAAAACCGCACCGAACCAAACUGUGCACACCCAUAUAUAUAAAUUUUGUUCUCUUGAAAUGAACAAUGGAGAUUGUGUCAAAGGGUUUAAAAUUUAAGUAGUUAAUAGCAUUUGUUCUUGCAUACGAUAUUAUGCGCUGGAAUCCUUCGUCCACUAUUAUUGUUUGUAAAUUGGUGGCCAAAGUGUUGGAAUUUAUGGUUAGCUACAUGCACAGAUUACAACCUAAUACCAAGGAUGAAAGAGCACACAAAUCUGAUGAAGCCAUUAAUGAAUGAUCGAGGAAGAGUCUUCUACUAAAUGGGGACCUUAUGUUCUCACUAGAAUAGGGCUAGUUACUAAAAGAACGUGUUCCUCUUGAGCAGGGACUAAACCAUUUUUUAGACGUAUAACCACAACCGUUUCCACCUAUCACAUAAACUGCUUGGCAAAACUGCCCGCCCAUUUACACUCGGGAAAUUUGGAAAAGUAACCAUAUUUUAAACCUCAUAUAGAAUUAUAGCCACCAUUUUAAUUUUAUGAUAAUUCUAACCAAAACUUAAUGUAAAAGUACUAAUAUACCCUUAAUGAAAAUUUGGAAAAGUAACCAUAUUUUAGACCACAUAUAGAAUUAUAGCCAUCAUUUAGUUUUAUGAUAAUUCUAACCAAAACUUGAUGUUGAGAUCUUGAAACAUAAAAGAGAUAGCCUCCUCAAUACUACCCAAUACCCCUAUUCUCGAACCCUCCAUUUCCUACACUCUUUUAUAUAUAUAUGGAUAUUCAAAUGUAAUCAGAGAAAGUGAGAUUUGAAGAUAACCUAGUAAACAUAAAAAUUAAUUAGGAAUUGAAUCUCCGAAGCAAAAUUUGAAUCUAAAAAUAGAGGAGCAAAAAGCCUUUUAAGCUAAAAUCUGUGUGAGGUUUUUCUGCUAAACUGGUGAUUGAAAAUAUAAAAGCCGAUAAUGUGAUAAAUCCCGAAUAAUAUAAAAGCCAAUAAUGUGAUAAAUCCCGAAUAAUAUAAAGCCCAAUAAUGUAAUAAAUCCCAAAGAAAAACAUUCACAUCAUGUGUUGGAAUGGAGUCUAAUUGGAUUCUUGCAAGUUUGGCGAUUGUGGCCUGUCCCACCACAGCGACUGCACUUCUUCACUAUCCUUUCCUCUCCCUGAGAUGGGAUUCUGUUUGUCUUGCGUCUUCCAGAUACAACUUGUCUGAUUGGAGGUAACACAACUCUAUUAUGCACCUCUUCUGGCACACUCCAUUCACUCUUGUUUCCAACCGGCCAAAUGGGCUCCGCAUACGCUAGCACAAUUGCAUUGGCUGUGUAGAAUUUGGAGCACAUAGUGUACACUAAUGUGUUGCGAAUUCGACAUGCAGCAGUUGCAUGGACACAUGGAAGCUGGUCGAGAUCAAACCUUCUACACGUGCAUGACUUGGCAUUUAGAUCAACUAUAUGAUAUAAGUCUGCCUCAUGUACUUGCAAUGCAUAAUGAUUAAUGGAAGAUACCUGCAUAGUUGACAAGUAACAACCAACAACAAGAGACCAAUUAAUCAUAAUUAUCAUAUUCUUUUAUCAACCUGUUUAUUUGUUUGAAACAUUUUAACUAUGUUUUUUGUUAACAAAAUAUGCACUAACCACAUAGAUUUGGCCGUCAUCCAACUCACUUGACCAUGAAAUAUUACAUGCUUCAAGGCCACAACUGAUUAAAUAAAAAGUUAAGAAGAGUGAAAAUAGCUUUUUGUUGGUUCCUUUUUUUUUUUUCCCUUCAUAUGUUCUUGGUAUGGAUUCUAUGUAAAUUUAGGUGUCCAGUGUGCAUUAGGAAUGUGAGAGUGCAUAAAAAUGUAAACAAAUCAUACAUACCGACAUACGCAAGCCUCUAUUUUGAUUCUUGUGCACUUUUUCCUCUGCCCACUUUGUCAAGGUCGAAUUCCAUGAACUUGCUGUGUUCCGACGUUCGUUGAACCACUCUUGUAGUAUACCUCUAAGGUGAUCCGCUAGAGCAAUGAUAGGCAACUUUCGAGCAUCCUUCAGUUUUGCAUUCAUGGAUUCGGCAAUGUUGGUUGUCAUCAUGUUGUAUCGUUUUCCACUGAAAUGUGCCCGAGCCCAUCUAUGAUACCCAAUUUCUUGAAGAUAUUUUCCUACUUUUCCAUCUUUGAUUGCCCAAAUAUCAGUCAUAACACUAUUAAACUCUGACACAAGGUAUGCUUUUGCCGCAGUGUAAUAUAACUUAAACAUCGUUUCAUCAUCACCAAAUUUAGUCCUCAUGUUGCCAGCUACAUGAUACAUACAAGCUCCAUGAUAUGCCUCUGGAAACACAGUUUGUACAGCUUUACCAAUACUUCCAUGUCGAUCAGAUACAAACACCAAGUCUGCUACCUCUCCAAUGGCACUUCUCAAUUUUGUAAGAAACCAUGUCCAUGAAGCGUCAUUUUCUGAGUCACCCACACCAAAUGCUAAAGGAUAUAUUUGAUUUUGUCCAUCAUGGCAUACAGCAACAAAUAAGGUGCCAAGAUAUUUACCCUUUAGAAAAGUCCCAUCAACUGCUACCACAGGCCUCAUAGAACCACGAAAUCCCCUUAUAGAGGCUCCCAUUGCCAUGAAAAAGUAUAAAAAGUGAUUAUUGUCAUCCGUUUCUAUAUGUGUUAUUGUCCCAGGGUUUUUACUUUCUAACAUGGCACAAUAGGCAGGAAGUGCGGCAAAAGAUUCCUCUGGCGACCCUCGGAUCAUGUCAAAUGCGUGCUCUCUUGCUCUCCAAGCUUUCUCGUAGCUCAUAUUAACCCCAACUUGUGCUCGCAUAUCCUCAAUGAAGUCUUUAGGUCUAUAUACACGUGAUGCCCCCUCAUACUUUGACUUUAUAAAUUGGCCAACAACAGAACUACUUGCUUGCCGAUGAUCACGCUGAACAACAUCUAAUGAACAAGAAUGAUUAGUUUCAAAUUUUCUUACUUCAAAAAAUUCUGACACUUGUAACUUGGUUGCACGAAGUCGCCACUUGCAAUUAUCAUCCACACAUCUAAUUUCCAAACGAUCCUUAGUUGAUCUUUCCACUUUAAAUUCAUAAUUCUUCCUCAUUGCAAUCAUAGCUAAUUGUUUUUGCAACUCUUUCUUACUCGAGUACAAUUGUCCGACCAUAAUAUCUCCAUCUAUAUUCAAAUCUGCAAUAUUAUCAUAGUCUUGUAUGCUCUUACGCUUGUUACGACGAGACGACGAUAGAUUGAAAUUGACAUCGUUCGACUGCACAUUAUCGAAAUGGGUACUGUCAUGAUAGUCAUCAGUAAACUCAAAACUCACAUCUAUUGAAGCCUCACUAAUCUGGGCAUUGUCUUGAAGAACUUGACUUGGUUGUUCAUCACUCAAAAUGUCAUCAUUCUCUUGAAUUCCCACUGUUGGUGAUGGGGAACUGCAUGCAAUUGGGUGUUCAUCUUCAGGUUCAUUUAGAGGAUAUGUUGUAACAUAUAACGGAAUCUUGUUCGGUUUUGCAGAAAGACUUUCACAUACCCAACUAGUCACAUCGUCGUUGUCUACAAUCUCCAUCAUAGUUUGUAUCCCUAAGUUGCUAAUGCAUUGAUAAUGUACUGAGAUUCUAAAUUCACUUGGACUAACAUGAAGACGUUUAUAUAUACCUUGUAUAAGAUCUAGAUGAGUAACUUCGGUUGACACUACCAUUGCUUUCGCUUGACCAUCUGUGUAUUGGCUAUCAACCCUCCUCCAUCCGUAAUGGACCACGGUAACAAAUUGAGUCAUUUUCUGAAGGAAAAAAAAUUAAUUAGCGCAUCUAACUAACCUGCAAAUAUAUUAAAAUUAGGAAAAAGUUAUAGAAAAAAUUAAUUAGCACAUAUAACUAACCUGGGUUUUGGGUUUAGGGUUUCAGUGGUGAAAAAUGGACACCUCCUUGCAGCAAACCCCUAAACCUUAAAAUUCAACGCCAAGCAUAAGGUCCUGAUUUUCCAAUGCUUUACCAAAGCUUUACCGAUGCUUCCAUGGACACCUCUCUUCUUGUGAUUUUCUUCCUGUUUUUCUUUCGCUGUUUCUUUUUUUUUUGUCAAAAUUCAACGCCAAGCAAACCCCAAAUUGUUCUCUCGCUGUUCUUUUUUUUUUUUGUCAAAAUCUCUUCCUGUUUUUCAUUCUUAGUUGACUGAUGUUGAUUAGGUUUUGUUUUUGUUGUGAGAAACCCUAAUAUUAAGGGUAUAUUAGUACUUUUACAUCAAGUUUUGGUUAGAAUUAUCAUAAAAUUAAAACGGUGGCUAUAAUUCUAUAUGAGGUCUAAAAUAUGGUUACUUUUCCAAAUUUCCCUUUACACUCCGACAUGGGAUAUCCUUUCACCAACAUGUUUAACCUUAUUGUCCUACUUUAAAGGAAAGAAGACUUAUUCAAAUAUUAACUCUAACGGAUUCCAGUUUCAACUAAACUCAAAACCCUAAUGAGAUAAGUUUAGAGUCCAAUAGGGUUCCAACACAAAGAUACUAACAAAACAAAAUUACAAGGAUGUCCAUGCCCUUAACAUGUUUAUCGGAAAUGGAUAUGCAAGGUUAUAGUAUUGUUCUCUUUCGUGAUUUGGAUUGUGUUUACUUACAUAAAGAAUCAGGAAUAGAAUUUUGUACCAGAACAAUUAGGUAUCGUUCAAUCACAACUGCUACUAAUUCUAAUAAGUAAUAAACGAUGAAACAAACAAACAAAUCCGCUCACUAAUCCCUAUCUUGUAAACACUUAAACAUUGUGUUAAACAAUUGAUUUUCAAUGAAAUAAUCAUACAAUUUGUAACUCUUGAAUCAUAUCGAUCUUUCGGGUUCCACUUCGGUCCUACACAGUGUUAAAUCCUAUGAGUCUCAAACAGUCUGAACAUACCAGAUCACAAUAAAAAUAAUAGACCAAACCAAUUUAGACCAUUCAAUACUCAUACAUUUAAUGCUCCGCAACAUAAAUUUUUUUUCUUCUUGUUUUCUUUCCUUUUCAAGGCCCGAUUAAUAGCAAGCAUAUGACUUCAUUCCAUAGUAUAUGGAAUCCAUACAACCAGUAUCAGGCCCAAAUAAUUUGGAAUUUGGGCCUCGACCAGUUUGAACAUAAUAAUUCACAAUUUUGGGCUGGCCCAAGCUAUCUAACUGCUACAAACAGGAGGUUCUCUAAAAGUUAUAAUUCUUGUAGCCGUUAUAUCAAAUUUAAACGGUCCAGAUCUUUUGAUCUUUAGACUCAGUUUAUUUGGGUCCGGAGGAGAUCCAGUUCUGUUUAAAGAAUCGGAUCCCCUCUGUACCCAAAUAAAUUGAGCCUCCUAAGCAAAUGAUUUAAGCAGUUGAAAUUUGAUCAAACGGCUACAAAAAGGAUGCACUUUAAGAGUUAUAAUAAGUGUAACAUUUGAAUUAAAUUUUAACGAUGCAGAUCUCUAGAAGGGAUCCGGUUCCCUCGUCUAUAACAAAGUGGCGACAUGUCAAGAGCCAAAAACGCGACUGUUCAUCCGAAAUUCGGAUUCCGAAUCAUCAGACGAAGAGAGAUUAAAAAAAAAAAAAAAACUAAUGAAAAAUGUAUAAUACCAUGAUUGAUUUUUAAUGUAAAAAUGUGAUUUUUUGUUAAAAUGAACGAUACCGUCUUUUUCUUUAAAGUUUUCGUUAAAGUUCCUAACAAAAAUUCAAAAUCCUGGGUAACCAAAAGCGAGCCAGAGAGAAAAUGGAGGGCGAAACCGGAAUCGACGUCAAAGUGAUUAAUCAGCCGUCGUCGACGCCAUCGCGCUUGAAGAAGAAGAAGAGAGUGACAGCCCAGAAAUCGCCCCAGAAGGCUCCGCCCUCUUCUUCCGCGGAGGACGACGACGGGAGUCCAAUCAGGCAAAUUCUCUGUGUCAAAAACAAGGUCGAUGUUAAACACUUCGAGGACGUCGAGGACUGCUUCAUUUUGGAUUUCGACCCCUCGGAGCCGGUGCAGUUGUCCAAGUUGUCAGUGUCGGUUAAUGGUGGUGGUGGUCACGAUGGUUCUCCCGAUAUCGCUGUUGUUGCUGAGAAAGGACAGGUUUUGAUCUUUACCCAUGACCCAUUUAUUUCUUUGUGUUAAUUUUCUUUCUUUUGUUUGGUUUCCGGGAAAAUGCAGGUAAAGAACUGAAUUUGAAAUCAUUAACUCCAUUUUGUUUCUUUGUUCUUGUGUUUGGUUGCUGGGAAUAUGCAGGUGAAGAAAUGGAUUUUAAAUUAGAACCCCAUUGUGGCAUUUUGCCUUUGAACCUUCAGAUGUUUAACCUCAAAAGAUUUGAAAUUUAUAAGAAGUUUCCAACUUUUUGGCUUAUCUGUUCAUAUUCCAAUUUUUGUGAAUUUAUGAGCUAAUUUUGUGAAUAUCUGAUGCCUUGUGUUGGUUUGAAUUGAUGCUGUGUAGGUUGCUUGUAGAGACUAUCCACAUUCAAGGCACCUCUGCCUGAAAUUUCCUUUCGGGACGACACCCCAUGAGAGCUACUGUGAUCUGGUAAUGGAGUUUUACAACUUCAAAUCUUUGCGUCUUGUGACUGUAUCCCUGAUUCCCUAGUUCUGUUGUUUAACUUGGCAUCUGAAAAGUGAAUUCACUGACUGUAUGCAGUGCUACUGCUACGUUUGUGAUUCUGCCGCUCCAUGUGGGUUAUGGAAACCAUCGCAUUGCCAUGCCGCUGCGCACAUUGGUGAUUGGAAGUCCAAAAGGAUGUUGAGGAAGCAGCAAGCCGCGGUGAAGAAGUGAACAAAACUCUCGUUGUUUAGCCGAAUUGCAGUUAAUGGGAUGCGAGAAAUACCAAAAAACUGAACCGUUGUUCCGCUAUUAGGCCGAUUUGCAGUUAUGGGAUGCGAGAAAUACCAGGAGAGUGAACUGUUGUUUUGCUCGUAAGCAGUCAAGUUCAAGUAAUUUUGUUCAUAGGGAAGGUACUUGAAAUGGCGUUUGUUCUGACUCGAAAAAUUGUAGUUACUGAUGAACUUAUGAUGUUGGUAGAGAUGGAAUCAAAUUUGAUCAGUUCAAUUCGAGUUGUUUUCUUGUUAUGGUUUGCAGGUAUAAGUGGGUUUUAUUGCUGGUAACCGGAAUUGCAUAUGCCUCAUGACAUGGAAGAGCAUCUAUCAAGUUGCAAAUGUCUUUUGUUGCUUAUUCGGAGAAUUAAAAUCUUCAUGAACGUGAUGGUUCAUCAAGCCGCUAGUAUCUCAAGAUCCUUUCAAUGAUCUAUGUUGUGUUGAAGGGAUAUCUGUAUGCUCCGAUUGAUUGCGGAAAGUCCUGUGAGACCUUAAUCGGAUGUGUAGUCAUAGGUAGACCUGGCAUUUUGGACCCGACCCGUUAAUAUUAGUAUUUGGGUGAAUGUUUAGCGGGUGAAUCCGUUAAUAACCCGUUAAAUAACUGGUCACUUUGGAUCAACCCGUUAGACCCGUUAGCACCUGUUAGUUGAGAAUGUUUUAGUAAUUUCAAUCAAGUCUUAACAACAAAAAUAAACUUUAUGAAAAAAAAAGAUUUAAUUGUUAACGGGUGAAACGGGUGACCUGUUAGCUUAACUGGUAUGGUUCGGAUGACCCGUUAGCGUAACGAGUUGGGUUCAGAUGAUCCGUUAACUUAACAAGUCGGAUUGAACCCGAUCUAAACCCAAUAAACCCGACCUAUUUACAGGUCUAGUCAUAGGUGGGAGGUGGCGACGCACAACAACCAAUCAUGUCCCGUUGCUUGAAAGAAAAAAAACUCAAAAAAAUGGGUGAUCGAAGGUUAGCGUCUGGUUAAGUUCUAGUAGGGGCUUUGCUUAACCGGACACAUCAGUUGGUAACCAAAAUUUGGCGUGAUAAGUUAGUGUAUUUAGAAUUAUCUCUCUCUUAACAUGAUUGCAACAUAUAAACAUGUAACUUUGGCCGGUCGUCGUUGUAAGCAUGCUAAAUUUCUUGCAUCCGAGUUUGAAUUUCCUUAAUACAGCACACGUGAUUUAGUCAUUGGGCUUAUGUGUGCCAAGAUAUGAAUGUGGGCGAAUUGUACCAAAUACGGCGGGCCCAAUUGUAACAAGAACCCUUUGCCCUCGCGAAUCAUCAUCAAUCAUAUAUCAUCCAUCUCCGUCUCGCUUUCUCUAUACCCACUGCUGCUCCUGCCGAACGGCCAAGACUGUUCCCCUUUAUCCGUUUCAGAAUUCCAGAGCUCCGCCGAGGAACACAAAAGAUGUCACCGGCUCCACUUGUUCAGCAGGACGCCGCCGCCGCCGACGAGGUCUCCUCCGUCGAGCAGCUUCUCAAGAGCUCUAAUCCGGUAAAGCUCUUCCCUUUUCCCUUUUUUGUGGGGAUUAUAUAAUUUGUUUUCAUUUUCCGUUUUUGUUUAUUUACUAAGUUUUGAAUGUUGGACUGGUGUUAUUGGCAGAACAAGGAGGAAGACGAAGUGGUGGUCGAGGACGUGAAGGACGACAAUGACGAGGACGAGGACGAUGAGGACGAUGACGAGGACGACGAUGAUAAGGAAGACGGCGCUCAAGGUUGCUCUUUUUUCCUUCUUGUCUUUUCAAUUUUACGGCAUAUUCGUCAUUUGGUUUCUGCUGUUUAUUUGUUCUCUGUGCUUCCUGAAUGUUCCCUGUUGCCUGGAGUUUUGGAUUUGUUACGAAUAUUAGGAGCACGCAGAGGAUGAAAAGUUCAGAUUUUUAUAAAGGCUAUGGAAAUAUUGAGAGUUUAAAAGUUUUCUUGGCUGAUUUUGAUGUUAGUUUUUGAGAUGUUUUCGACCCAAAACGUAGAUGCAUGAUUUUUUGUUCAUUUGUGCUAAUGUUUCUAGGAUUCAUAUAGCCCACUUAGGCCCCGUUUGGGAUUGAGGUGAUUUAAAAAAAAGCCACUGUGAAAAAAAGCUGAGGGUCAUUUUUGUGUUUGGUAAACUGAAAAAAAAGGGCUUAUUUUGGAAGCUGCUGUGAGAAUAAGCUGAAAAUCAAAGGAAAAGCUGAAGCUGCUAUUUGCUGCUUUGAAAAAAAGCCAGUUUUUUCAAAGCACAUGGAGCUACAGUGCUCCUUUAAUGAAAAGACACACUAUCAUCCUGCUUUUUUUUCCAAAAGCACUUUCACAAAAAAGUUUACCAAACACUCUACUGGCUUUAUUUCACGGCCGCUUAUUCUCACAGCACAGCCGCUUAUUCUCACAGCAGUUUUUUUUCAAAGCACAGCAAUACCAAACCAGCCCUUAGUGGGAUAAGGCUUGGUUGUUGCCGUUGUUGUUGUUUUUGACACGAAGUGUAGUUCAGUUUGUUCUGAACUAUAAAGAUUCAAACUGUUUUCGUUCGUUUAUGCUACGGUUUCUUUGUGAGCCUGAUUUUUUUUGUGUUUGAUUACAAUGAGUUUGUGUUAUUUAUGUUGUCCUUAAAGUGAUCUUGAUUAGACGAUGAUGAACAGGUGGAAGUGGGGCUUCGAAGCAGAGUAGAAGUGAGAAGAAGAGUCGAAAGGCUAUGUUGAAGCUUGGGAUGAAGCCUGUUACCGGCGUUAGCAGGGUUACCAUCAAAAGGACCAAAAACGUAAGUUGAUGUUUGGUUUCCAGUUGGUGCAAUUGGGAUAUUGUUGUAUGAUGCUCGAUAUUCAUUGUUUGUUUGCUAUUUCUUGGUGUUUCAGAUACUAUUUUUCAUCUCGAAACCUGAUGUGUUCAAGAGUCCAAACUCUGACACCUAUGUCCUAUUUGGCGAGGCCAAGAUCGAGGAUUUGAGCUCCCAGCUUCAGACACAGGCUGCUCAGCAGUUCAGGAUGCCAGACAUGAGUUCUGUGACGGGGAAACCAGAGAUUUCGGCAGCAGCUGCUGGAGCUCAGGAUGAAGAGGAGGAAGAGGUUGAUGAAACCGGGGUGGAGCCUAGGGACAUUGAUUUGGUCAUGACACAGGCUGGGGUAUCGAGAAGCAAGGCCGUCAAGGCGCUCAAGACUCACAGCGGGGACAUUGUCAGCGCUAUCAUGGAGCUCACCACAUAAUUGGCCAAUGUCAACAGUUUUUGUCAAGCUCAUUGUUUACUUGAUGAGUGUUUUGAAUCAGUGUCGUGUCGGUCAUUGGUUUUUGUAGCUCAAUCGGACGCCCGUCUAUGUGUAUCUGGAUUGUGCUUCUCUAUUCUUGUGGAGACUCAAAACAUUGGCAGUGAUGGCUUUCAGGUUUUCUGAUGAACUUCACUCCUGAGUCAUGAGUUUUUAAAGUUUCUAAUUCAUCUUUUAAUUAGAGACGAGAUUUGACUACCUAGUACUAAUGAUACCAACAGGAUCCUCUCCGGAUUCUUUUGGUGGGGAUCCUGGAGAUUCGUAAAUCGUAUUUGUUCAUCGUACAUCGUACAAUCAGUUUUUGUUAGGUAUUAUUUGUAUUUAAUUUUAAAUAAAAAUAUUUAAAAUGAUUUCUAACCGCACAAUGUACGAUGAACGAAUAUGAUUCACGGAUUUUCAGGAUCCUCAUAAAAAGGAUCCGGAUUCCUAGUAAUAUUCUUAUUUGUUUGUAAGUGGGAGGAGGUAUUAGGUUUGACGACAAGCUUAAAACUUGUUGAUCAAAUCUCAUAUCUUAUUAAACAGUGUCUGUAGGAUAACAUGGUUUAUGUUGUCAUAUAGUAUUACUCUUAGGUGAUAUUCAUUUUUACUUGUAAAUGAAGAGUUUUAAGUUUGUUUGUCGUAAUAAACUUUUACCAAAAACAAGAAUCAAUAAACAAAAAACAAGUAAACACAACAUGGUGGUCCAAUGGUUUGGACGAAUUCCAGGACCAUAUAUCAAAUGGCAUGUUCUAAGUUCAAUCUUUGUUGUUGAUGAAUCAUAUGAUGGUGUUCAUGAGAGGAUAAAAUUCUCUGUGAGUCUUUCCAACCACCGACAAUAUAAACUGUUGUGAUGAAGCCACUAGCUGAUCCUAUUUUACGAGAAGAAUAAACCAAAACGAGUGGUGAACUGCAGAAUAAAAAAUGAGUGCAUUUUCCAUCGGAAAAAUAUUGCAAGAGAUUUAAUGAUUGGGCUUGGUGGUGCCGCCAAAAACUAGCGGGCCCACUCAGAAACCGAAACCCUUUGCCCUCGCGAGUCAUCGUCUCUCUAUACGCCGCUGCGUCUGCGUUACGAAUUUGCUAAGACAUCAUAUUUUUAUCCGUUUCAGAGCUUCUAGUCUCCGCCGACAAACCCGAAACAUGUCACCGGCUCCACUGGUUGAGCCCGAAGCCGUCGCCGCCGAAGAGGUUGUCUCCGGCGACCAGCUUCUCAAGAACUCUAAUCAGGUAAAGCUCCUCCCUUUGUUUAAAGUACCCAUUUUUUGUUUGGUCUAUAUAUGUUUCGAUUUCCGAGCUGCUACUGUUGUCAGACCAAGGAAGAAGAGGAAGUCGUGGUCGAGGACGUCAAGGACGACGACAAGGACGAGGACGAGGACGAUGAGGACGACGAUGAUGACGACGAUGAUGACAAGGAAGACGGCGGUCAAGGUUUGUCCUUUUUUUUUUUUGCUGUUCUUAUCCUUUCGAUUGCUUGGAGUUUUGGAUUUUCCAUGGAUGUCUUUGCGUUUUUUAAGGGCAUGUUUGAUUGGUAGGAGCAUAUAGAGGGUGAAAAUAUUAGACUUUUGCAAAAGCUAUGGAAAUAAUGAGAGCAUAACAGGUAGCUCGAGUGAUUUUGAUGUUAAUUUUGAAGUGUUUUCGGUAGAACCCAAAAGCCGAAUCGUAGUUCUGUUUGUUGUAAACUAUAAAGAUUCAAACUUUUUCAUUCAUUUAUACAGUAUUUUUUGCUGCUCAAUCCCAAUGAGUAUGUAUUAUAACAGGUGGAAAUGAGUCAUCGAAACAGAGCAGAAGCGAGAAGAAGAGUCGGAAGGCAAUGCUGAAGCUGGGUAUGAAGCCUGUUACUGGUGUUAGCAGGGUUACAAUCAAGAAGACCAAAAACGUAAGUUGCUGUCUGAUUUCCGGUUUGUGAAGUUGAGAUAUGGUUAUGGGACGGUCGAUGUUGAUUGGUUGUUCUUUUUUUGUGUGUUUCAGAUGCUGUUUGUUAUAUCGAAACCCGAUGCCUUCAAGAGUCCAAACUCCGAUACCUAUGUGAUAUUUGGCGAGGCCAAGAUUGAGGAUUUGAGCUCUCAGCUGCAGACACAAGCUGCCCAGCAGUUCAGGAUGCCGGACAUGAGUUCUGUGAUGGGGAAACCAGAGAUUUCUGGAGCAGCUGCCGGACCUCAGGCAGAUGAAGAAGAGGAAGAGGUUGAUGAAACCGGGGUGGAACCUAAGGACAUUGAUUUGGUCAUGACACAGGCCGGGGUGUCAAGGAGCAAAGCUGUCAAGGCUCUCAAGACUCACAGCGGGGACAUUGUCAGCGCCAUCAUGGAGCUCACCACUUAAUUUGUUAUCCUCGUGCUCGUUGUCAGUUGAUGAUGAGUUUUUUUGAGUCUGUCGGUCGUUAGCUAUUGUUGUCCAAACGGACGCUCGUCUAUGUGUGGAUUUAUGGUGCUUUUCUUUUCUUUUGUGGACUCAAAGACAUUGGUAGUGAGGUCUGCUGGUUUGCUGAUGCGCCUUCGCUCCUAUGUCAUGAGUUUUUAAGGUUUCUAUUUCGUCUUUUAAUUCUUCCACAUUAGAGUUGUCUCCUGCAAUUUGCUCGAUCUCGCUUUGCUUUGUCAAUGACAUAGAUCGAACCCUGGGGUUGUUUGGCAGUGAGUCUUAGUGCUCGUUUAGAUGUGCUUUUUAAAUGAUUGAAAACGUUUCUGAUGAAAAUGUUUUUAGAACAAAUCAUUUGUAAAAAUACAAGUAAAUUCUGAAAAUGCACUUAAAUGCUUCUUACAGAAAGCACUUUAAGUGCUUUUGAAAUCAAAAAUCACCAUCUCUAAAAGCGUUAUCAGUCAUUUUAAAAGCACUAUUUUGUGGAGGACGUGGAAUCGAUGCCCUAAAAGGAGCGACAUGUGCAAGAUUAAUUCACCCUAACAACAUGUGCGAAUGAACGUGUAAUGAAAUGCAUGCAUGCAUCCAUGCACCUGCCCACACACUGUCGAAGACUUGAUCGUAAUUACAUAAUUGUAGAACACAUACGUUCCGAAAUAUUCAAAUUAAGUUCACAAACUUUGUACAAAAAUAUCGCAUCCAGAGUCAUUUAGUUUGGAAAUAAGCAAAAGAGGAAAGAGGAAUCAUCCACCACCCAGGAAGGGAUGUUUUCUUUCCAGCAUCAGGUUCCUCACUUCUGCCCCCAAACCUCCUCCUUCAUGACAUGUUCCCAAUCCGAGGAAGAGCUAUCGUACCAACCUGCCGGAAGCAGAUUCCCAGGCCUGUUGAUCUUCUGAUUAUCUGUCGGUGGACCGCCCAAGAACAGAUGGAAUUCCUUAGCAGCCACCAUAUUAUCUUCACUACUGCCAGCUUCAUGACUCUGCAAAAUAGGUUGCUCCUUCAGUUCUGAACCUUCACCCUCCGAUGUCUUGCUAAUAAACGGCCAGGGGUUUCUCAUACCAGCAUACCCAAGCCCACCAGUUUCCGGCAGUUGCUGCCCUUCUGAAUGCAUGUAAGAGUUGUCAAUCCGGGAUUUAAGGAUCUGAAGCCUCGACAUAACAGAAUCCUCACAGUCGUUUCCCUCGUCGGUUGUGCUAGAAUGAGUAGAAUCCUGGAUGUUGAACUCGGGCAUUAAGCUAUAACUCGUGCUAGGUGCAACUGCAGAUAUCUUGGGGUCUGGAAGAUGUUGCCCUUCAGUAUGCAAGUCAGCGUAGUUUUCAAUCCGGGAUUUGAGGAUAUGAAGUCUGGACAGAACAGAAGCCUCGCAAUCGUUUGAUUGGCUGGUAGUGAUUGACAUGGAAGAAUCCUGGAAGUUGAACUCAGGUCCCAAGAAAUCACUUGCGUUGGGUGCAAUUACGUCAAUCUUGGGUUCAAGACACACAUCGGAGCUGGAUGAUUCCUCCAUAUUGGCAGAACUAAUGAAUUUCGAUUUCUCAACCCGGUCUCUUAUGAUAUGAAAUCUGGCCAUAACAGAAGCCUCGUCAUAAUCAUCUGUUAUCCCAACUGUAUCUGAUGCAGGAGAAUCCUGAAUGGAAAUACCAUGUGAUGAUGAGCUACCAUUUACUUCAGAUGGAAUAUUAUCACCCUUGUUUGGUUCAGAAACCUUGGAGCUGGAUUCGCCCCCAUUGGCAGCACCAAUCAAAUUUGAGUUCUCAAUACGGUCCCUUAAGAUACGAAAUCUGGCCAAUACAUCAUCUUCCUGGCUUAAUACAGGUAAAUCCUGGAGACUUGAAAUUGGACAAUCAUGAGCAUCAGGCGUCAAUGGGUUAACUGGGUUUGAAUCAGGGGAAACCUCAGACAUUGAUUGCUUCAUCAUAUCUGCAUUAUAUUCAAAGCCGUCAGAAACACAAUCAUAAAAUAAAGAUAAGAUCAAAGUUUCUUGUUUAUAGGUUAUAAAACUAUGGCAGUAAUGUAAGAGCAUUAACCUUUGGAUUUCUCUGCCUUGCACUUAUCCAUUUCUAUCUUUGUACGAUUAAAACGAGCUUUGUAAUUAAUGGAACAUAAUACAGCUUCAGCCUCGAGCCAUAGGUCCUUGUACAAGAGGGCUUGAGGGUCUGUUUCUUCAGCAUGAAAAUUCUCACUAAGAAUCUUCUUUAUAGCCUACAAAACCAAGGUCCAUGGCAAUAACUAACUAAUUUUUUGUACUUCCUCAUCCCUCAACGGCAAGAAAUAUAACUUGACAUUUUACUUUAUCAAGCUAGGUAUAGGGGUACCUGAGUCAUUUUAUCUUCUUUCGCCAUGUUUUUGUCACUUUUCACAGAAACAGAACCUACAACUUUAUCCUGAAUUUUAGAGGCAGAUGCCAAUGGAGCCCUGUCUGCAUUCACAACCUGAAGAAAUUAUUCAGCCAAGCAAAACAUUAUUAUAGAGUAUGAGGUGGUAAACUCUCCGCUAUUCAUUUGAAAAUGAAGUCCAAAAUAAGAUUCCAAAAACUUAAGCAGCAUACCUUGUUAUGCUCUGUAAACUCUCCGUUACACUGAGAAGUGUUUUGCAGGAACAAUGGCAUUUCCUGUGUCGGUGACAAUUUCUCACCAUCCUUUGAUAUGCAGAUAUGCAGGUUAUUGAUCACAGCUUUUAUGGUCUCAAUAUCAUUUUUCUUCAAUUGAACCAAGCCAUAUGAACAAUUACUAAGCAGCAAUUCUGACAAGUUAUUCAUUGUAUCAACCAGCAUCUGUGCACCCACUUUUGGCAUAGAAUCUUCCCCAUCAGAUUUGGAAAGCUUAGUAGGUGCAUCCUCCACAGACGAACACAAUAUAUUUUCUACAGCAUGAGAAGGCACAUGCACCGAACCAUAUUCCAUAGUGUCACUGACAUUCAGUUUAAAAUCUGGACCACAAGUCAAUGUUGUUUUCUUUAUUUCCGUUGCUAAUCCGUCUUCUCCACCACAACCUUGUUCCAUUGUAUGAGAAUGGCCAAAGAGACCAAAGGAAUUUUCCCCACUCCCUGAUUUAUGGAGGACAUUUCUGUAACUUUGAGGUCCUCUACCAUGGCUUGUUUCUGAGUUAUAAGUGGUCUUCGCGGUAUCAUCUAACUUAUGUUCUCCAAAAGCUGAGUUUUCAACUGAAUAUCUCUUCAAAGGAAGGGUCACACCCUUUUCCAGCCACCCAAGAUCAUGGUAUUCAACGGUGUUCUUGAUAGGCUUUUGGGAGGAAACAUCUUCCGCAGCCUUUAGUGGAAACAUCAGUGGCAUUGGAAAAUGCAAACCAUUGUAGUCCUCUAGUUUCUUUAACUGUUCUGGAACCCCUUCUUCAGAGGAUUCAAAUGGAGAAAACCGACUACCAGGAACUCCUUUCCAGCAAGGCGAGUCCACAGCUGGAUUAUUAGGAUCUACAUUGUCAGAUGAACUCGGAAAACAAUUGACGGUUUCAUUUGUAUUAACUGACACAUUAAAACCACCAGGACUAACAUGAGGAUUUUCAAGUCCAGACUUCGCUUUAAACACAUGAUCCCAUGGACUCUUGUUGAGACUUCUAUUAUUUAACAGCUCUUCAUUUCUUUUUGCAAAGAAGCUAUCAUUUAUUCCAAGAAGACUGUCAAAUUGGCUUGAACUGAAACGACAGUUGCCUUCAGAAACUUGUAGCAGACGAGACUCUUGUACACUAGAGGGAUAAUAAUCAUCACGAUCUGUCUCAGCAGCAUCACUUCUGAAAUUCAACCUUUUGAACAGACCUAUCUCUGGUUCUGAAGAUUUAGUGCCAAUAGCUGGUAUUCUAGUGGCAAAGGCAGAAGAAGACUUUGAAGUGGACGAAAUAUCAUCCAUACUAGCAUCAUGCUGUUGUUGCUCAGAGAACACACUGUACGGUGUUUUACAGUUUGUGGUGUUCGUGAUAAAUUGUGAGGAUGAUGCCUUAGGAUGGGUUUCUGGAACUGCUGAAAAGGAUCCCGUGACAGAUUUUGAAAAGUCAGCAGGGAUGAAUUUGGAAUUUUUCGCCACAAAGGAUUUAUCACCUAAGUGCUCUGCACUUACAGAUCCACCAAGCUUUUCCCAACCCUGAAUAUUGAUGCCAUGUGAUGCUUCUUCACAUGAGGGGUCUGCACAUUAUACAGAUAGUUAGGGGAAAAUAGAGUAGGGUUGCAUAACAAACAGGAAGUGAACCAAAAAAAUGAAAACAAAAGUAGUUGCACUGGAAAAAUUCCAUAGGCGCAUAACUUGGGGAAGACAUACCUUGGUUCAUGUAAUUCUUGUAAAGUGAUGAGCCGGAAACAUCAGUCUUCUUUGAGCAGAAAUUUCCAUUAAAGUCUCCCUGUUUACCCUGCUCCCGCUCCCACUCCCACAAGCCACCCCACUGGGUAGUAUACUUUGGAUCAGAAGGGUUUUGAGUGUAAUCCUUGUGAGAGGAGCUAUCCAAGGGAGCAAAAUGAGUACUAGACAGCCAAUCAUAACUAGGCUGACGAGGAACCACCAUGGGGGAACACUCGGAACUGUUGAGGUUAGAUAAGAGGGAUAAUAAGGUUUGGCCUCAACAAAACUAGUUGCAGCAGCAUCGAAGGAUUGAUCGUACUUAAACGUACUGGGUGAAGUGGUGGUAAUAGUGUUCAAAGGAGGCAAGUUUGUAUUGGAUGGUUCAACAGUCUGCAGGCCUGCAUAUCCAUACGCAUUCGAUGGAGGAAUUGAAUUGAGAUCUGGGGUGGGAUUGGCAAAGAAAUUAGAAGGGGUAGUGGUCGGGUGAGAAGGAAGCCAAUUGUGCAAAGAAGAAUUCAUGGGGGCAACAUAAGGUGGCUCAGUCACAUCAAGUGAGCUUGACAUGGGUUUUGGCACAGGCCGAUCGACAGUAAAAGGUGGCGCUAAAGCCGAUAAACUUGAAGGCGAUGAUGAUGAAUAUGGAUAAGAUCCUCCAAUUCCAUAAGGAACAAAUCCCGCCAUUCUUAGACUUUGGUUCUACACACAAAUUAAAGUAAAUUGAUCAAGACCCGCUAAAAUUAACAUCAACUAAGAAAUACUGAAAUAAAAAGGUCAACCAGAGCUAAAAUUUCCUAAAACAUGAACACUCACGACAAAAAUCAAAACUUUAUGAAGAACCCAUUUGUCAAACACCAUAAAGAUUAUCAAAUAACAACGAAAUUAUUAUGAUCUUUGAGAAUCGUGCGAAAAAAAUGAAAGAAUUGGUGAUGCUGCUUACAAUAUGAUGACGAUCAGAGCAUCCGUUUUCAGCAAUCGCCCAAUUAACUGGGUAAAACAAGGAGGAAAUAAAAGCACAAAAGCUGUAAAAUUUACAAAACAGUAGUAUUCCCUUGAAUAUGUAUAUAUAUAGUUCUCUUGCUUAACUAUAUCCUACAGCUACAUCAAUAAGAAAACCCAGAUUACAGAAUAUGGCAAGAACAGCAAAAUCAUAAACCAAUCUGGAAAUUAUUCAAGAAAUCUGAGAUUUUGAAUCAAUUGGGGAGAAAUUCAUACCAGAGGAGUGACGAGUGAGGGAGGAGAGAGAGACAGAGAGAGAGGCAGAGAUUGGUGGCAGAGUGUCCUCCGGGUCUUCACCGUCCAAGAGAAGCCAGGAAAAGGAGAAUUUUGGGUUCAAAAGUCACUCUCUUUGGUUUUGGCCUUUGAUUUACGCUUAUCUACAAAGAAACCCCUCUCAUUUCGAAGAAAUGAUUUACCUCCCCCUACUUUUGACAAUUAAUUUCUCUUCCCCUCAACUUGUAUUCAUCUUGAGUGUAUUUUUUCUCACAUCCUAAAAGUGAGGUGAUGCUCACUCUCUUUGUUUGUUAUCGUUAAAUUAAUUUGUUUUAAUCGAUCUAAUAUAUGAAUAUUAAAAUUUAAACUAAUUUAACGAUAAUCAGUAGGGGUGAUGCUUACCCCUUACUUUAGGAGGUGGGCAAAAGUAUUCCCUCCAUUUUUUUUUCUAAAUCUGGCUAAAGAUUUAACAUUAACCUUCUGCGUUUCACAUCUUAAGUUUGAUUAUUCUACUCUCAAUAUUGUUUGUAUAAACAAAGUACAAUGUUCAACUUUUAUGUUUGCAAAUUGUGAAUCAUAAAAGAAAGAUUAUGGACUUGUAUGUAUGAAUCUAGGUCUUAAAAUUGAAGUAAUUCUUUAAUGAAGAUCCUAAUAUUGUUUUGUCGACAAAUCAAUUCAUACUUAUAUUAUAAUGCAUGUAUUUUUCUUUAAUUUUUUUUAUACACCUUAUAAAUUUUUGGUUUACUCAUAUCAUAACAUGUAAAUUAGUAAUAUCAUAUAACAAAUUUUCAUUACGAAGAAUAUUAAUGCAUGAGACCCUAGUUUAAACAGUUAUAAAUAAGGAAAAAACUUAACCGCAUGGUUGGUCAAAAUACUUUUAAAACCAUGAGACUCAUUAUAUUUUAAUUUUGCACCAGUUUUAUAUUUCUCUAGUACGAUAUGUGAGUUGUCAUAAUCAUGCAAUCAUUUUCAGUGAUAGACUUUAUUAUCACGAGCAAAGGAGUUGUAAAUGAACCAAAAGAGGGUCUGAGAGUGUGAGUUAUUGGGUGGGACAACUCUCAGAGAAAAUGCAGUGCAUCUUCUUCAACCAUCUAUCAUGACUUGUUUCUAUCGUUUGUAACUAAUUGUCGAGUGAGAAAAAGUUUAAAGAUAGCUCAAACUAAUUAGCUACAAAACCAAAUUUGAACAUGUCACAAAAUAUAAUUUGUCUUCUCAAAAUUCAACUCUAUUUAUAAUUAUUUAAUUAACUACUGUUUUAGUCAAGUCGUUGGAAAAUCUUCAAGAUUAAAUGUCCACACCGACAGCUUUCUCUAUUAUUUUUUAUGAUUCAAACUUGUGAAUGGUUAGACCGACCAAGCAAGCAGUCGGAGGCAUGGAGUGUUUGUGGUUUUGUUCUUCACAUAACAUAUAUACAACUAGGGCUGGAAAAAAAUCCCAAAAAUCCCAAACCAAACCGAAAAAUUCCCGAAACCAAACCGAAAAAAUCCCAAACCGAAAUUCCCGAAAAUUUCGGUACCCAAUACCGAACCGAUCCCGAAAUUUCGGUACGGGAAUCGGUCUCAAGUUUUUGGGAUUUUGGUAUUCCCAAACCGAACCGAAAAAUAUAUAUAUAUAUAUUAUUUAAUUUUUAAAUAUAUAUUUAGAUCAACAGAGUCCAUAGAAAAUGAAGGCUUCAAUAGUUGCACAUAUUUCUAUAUGAAUGAUUUAAAUCGACAGAGUCUUGCAAUUGUAGCAUCUACAUUUGAAUCCAGAUUGGCAGUCUUGCAAUUGUAGCAUCUACAUUUAAAUUAACAUAGUCUUGCAAUUGGCACAUAUUGCAAUGGGUUUCUUAGCAUAUUGCAGCCCAAAAGUGUUAAAAUGUUCAAUUUUAGCCCAAAAACAUAAUAUUUAGUCCAAAAGCCCAAAAGCCCAAAAUCAUUUCGGGAUUCCCGAUUUGUCCCGAAAUCCCGAAACUAUUUCGGGAUUCCCGAAAAUUGGGAUUCCCGAAAAUUUGGUUUGGGAUCGGUAUUGAAAUUGGGAUUCCCGAAAUUUUUGGUUUGGGAAUCGGGACAAGGGUUUCGGUAUGGGAUCCCAUACCGAACCACCCCUAUAUACAACAACAACAACAACAAAGUCUUUUCCCACUAAGUGGGGUCGGCUAUAUGAAUCCUAGAACGCCAUUGCACUCGGUUUUGUGUCAUGUCCUCCGUUAGAUCCAAGUACUCAGUCUUUUCUUAGGGUCUCUUCCAAAGUUUUCUUAGGUCUUCCUCUACCCCUUCGGCCCUGAACCUCUAUCCCGUAGUCACAUCUUCGAACUGAAGCGUCAGUAGGCCUUCUUUGCACAUGUCCAAACCCCUUUUGUGUACGUGUUGGUGCUUCACCGCCCAACAUUCUGUGCCAUACAGCAUCGCCGGCCUUAUUGCCGUCCUAUAAAAUUUUCCCUUGAGCUUUAGUGGCCUACGACGGUCACCCAACACGCCGGAUGCACUCUUCCACUUCAUCCAUCCAACUUGUAUUCUAUGGUUGAGAUCUCCAUCUAAUUCUCCGCUCUUUUGCAAGAUAUAGAUCCUAGGUAGCGAAAACGGUCGCUCUUUGGUAUUUCCUGAUCUCCGAUCCUCACCCCUAACUCAUUUUGGCCUCCAUUUGCACUGAACUUGCACUCCAUAUAUUCUGUCUUUAAUCGGCUUAGGCAAAGACCUUUAGAUUCCAACACUUCUCUCCAAAGGCUAAGCUUCGCAUUUACCCCUCCUGAGUUUCAUCUAUCAACACUAUAUCGUUUGCGAAAAGCAUACACCAAGGAAUAUCAUCUUGAACAUGGAUCAUCAAUCAUAAAAUUUGUCACCUUUUGUUCCGUCCCAUCAUCAGGGUUUUUUUUUAAUUUUUAAUUUUAUUUUUUUAUAUUAUAAGUUUGAACAAUUAAACUGAAGACUCACAAAUGUCCCGAUUAAAAAAUGUGACUAUGAGACGGAGGUCCAGGACAAAAAAGAUAAAAGAAGACCUAGGAACACUUGGUUAGAAACUUUAAGAAAAUAUAUAGUAUUUGGAGCUAACGAAAGAUAUGACGCAAAUUCAAACGCUGUGGAGUUCUAGUAUUUGUACGGCCGAUCGCAUUUAAUGGGAUAAGUUUUUUGUUUUAUAUUAUAGGUUAUAUGUCAUUUGUCAGUUAAGAUAUUGAUGCAGUGAAGCAACUAUACCUAAUAAUUGCUAAAGAACUUAGAUUUAUGUCUAAUUUUAUCAAAUUGUUUUCUUGCAUUAGUUUAUUUGUUUACCAAUUUUAUUAUAAUUUAAACGAUAUUUGUCUCAAAGCAUUUUUACUGAUAACGGGCUAUAUUCCAUUGACUCAGCUUGAGCCUUGAUCUGCAAUCAAUAGAAUAUUAAUAAUCUUAAAUCAGGCAAUUAAUUAGUUAAUCAUCAUUUGAUCUCUUUUACGGAUACAAAAGAGACUAAUUAAUCAACAAAAACCUGCUGCCUGCAAUAUAAAACUUGCAUAAUAUAUGAUCCAAGAUUACAUAUGCAUGUAUGACUAAUUACGCGAUAAAUUAAACUAAUAGAAGAUUACUGCAGAAAACAGAAUUUCAUAUACAUACACCGUUUUCAUGGAAGCAUACUGCAGCAUCCAAAAAUGAAUACGGAUAAAGUAACCAAAUAAAGAAGAUAUCAAUGAAAGACGUGCAAAUUAAGCAACCAAUUAGAGAAAGAAAGCCGCCCAAUCAAUCUCAGGAGUGUAUCCAUCAGUGAUGUACACUAGCUUAAAAAUAUAGAUAAAAGGAAGAAGCAGCGUCGUGAGUGGAGGCCGGCCGAGAAGCUUGACGAAGAUUAUUCACGAGACCACGAAAACUGGUACUGUGCCGCCUUGGCGGUACGAGCUGCUCCGUCAUCCUCGCAAGCGCUGCUGUGUACAACCCUAGCAGCUCUGCAACAAUGCCUACCCUUAUCAUCCCUUCUUUUAUGAUUAAUUUUCUCACCCCCACAAAUUGUAGAGCCUCCGUUCAAGAGAGCGAGAGCGGCUACUGAGGGAGAGGUAGAGAGAGGUGUUGAUUGGUAGGUAGCUAUAUAGUUAGCAAUUACCGCGCCUUCAAAGCUUUGUUUCAAAGUCGUAGAUGGUUGGUGACUUUACAUAUACCUUUUAGUUGUUGUAACGUGU
rnacentral:lncRNA from 1 species